rnacentral:lncRNA from 1 species
CUUUUUUUUUUGUCUUUCACAUUUACAGAGAACAUGGGAAAGAGUUAUGUUAGCUUCUUCCUUAGAUCAUGUUGGUAAGCUGAACACGGCCAUACCUUAAGUUGAUCAUUUAUUCGAUUGGUUUCAUUUGUUCAUCAUGUUCACACUAGCCUUUUGUUCCCAUAGUUGUGGCAACAGAUGAUGAGAGAAUUGCAGAUUGUUGUCGAGGAUUUGGAGCUGAUGUUAUAAUGACAUCAGAAUCAUGCAGAAAUGGUACUGAUUUAUUGUUUUGUAGUUAUGAUAUCUUUUCAUUAUUAUGUGGUAAACCACUGUAUGUAUUUAUCGGCAUUUCUAGGAUCUGAGCGCUGCUGUGAGGCACUUCAAAAGCUUGGGAAACGUUAUGAUAUUGUUGUCAAUAUUCAAGGAGAUGAGCCUCUUAUUGAACCAGAGAUAAUAGAUGGUGUCGUUAUGGCACUGCAGGUGGUUACUUAUGCAACUAUCUUAUCUUGAUGUUUCUUGGACUUCUCUUCAGUCAAAUAAAAUUGUUCAGAGAUCCAGUAGUUGGGGACUAAGAUUACUCCUGAAAGUUCGAUACUGUGUAGUUCACCUGACCUUGUACUCCUUAACACCCUGUAGCUUAAUCUCUUUAAUUGAUGUUGUACUUUGCACUUCCAAUCUGGCUUGCAGCGAGCUCCUGAUGCAGUGUUCAGCACAGCUGUUACUUCGCUGAAACCUGAAGAUGCGUCUGACACAAAUCGAGUGAAGUGUGUUGUGGAUAAUCAGGGUUAUGCAAUCUACUUUUCAAGAGGGCUGAUACCAUCCAACAAGUGAGCCACCAAUAUUUGUCUUAACUCUUCCGUCAACCAUAUUUUCACGUGCAUUUUUUCUAACUUUGGGAAUUUCAGAUCAGGGAAAGUCAAUCCUAAUUAUCCAUAUCUUCUCCAUCUUGGAAUCUCGGUAUCUCAUCAACAUAUGUUUUUUAUUGUUUAUGUUUGCUUCAUGGUCUUUUGCUGUUAAACCUGUAGUCUGUAACGUCCUACAGUUGACGAAUUAACUGAUUGUUUUUCACAUACAGGGCUUUGAUUCGAAGUUCUUGAUGCUCUAUCCAGAACUCCCACCAACACCUUUACAACUGGAAGAGGACCUAGAGCAACUCAAAGUUCUUGAAAAUGGCUAUAGGAUGAAGGUAAUUUGGCAUGGGGCUUUAGGGUUUAUGACGUAGACAGUGCCGGUUUGUUACUGCUCUGAUGCAGGUUUUUCAUUAUGAACUUGUACAGUUUGAAUGCUCCUCUGAUUUUCAACGUGUGCAGUAGUGUCUCUCUUUAUAUGUUGCAUUAAAUGUUACAGACUAUAUCCAAGAGCGCUGAAUUCUGUUUGUGUUUACUUUCCUUAAUUGUAGGUGAUCAAAGUGGACCACGAUGCUCAUGGUGUGGAUGCACCUGAGGAUGUUGAGAAAAUUGAAGAACUGAUGCGAGCGAGAAACAUUCAGUAGAAAAUGAAGAUAAUAUGUGCUUUGCGUUGCCACGGCGUAGGUUCACUGGGAGACUUUGGCCAUGCCACAUUGUCUGCAGAUGGCAUGGUAGUAUGUAAACCAGAUGAGUUGAUCGAUUAGGAGCUGUUCAGUUAGCUGUUCUUUUUCUGUCCCUUUCUCGAGACCUGCAUGUCCCUGUAUUUAAUAUUUGCAUGACUGGUUUCGUGGCAGUAUGGCAAUAUCCAACAUCCUAAGGCCCUGUUUGGGAGCAUUGUAUAAUUUUGCACCUGUAAUUGCAUUCCAUCUGUAUUUUCUGGUGCACAAGAAUACAUCGGAAAUGUAUCUGAUUUUUAUACCCCUGGAAAAUAUUGUAAAUAUGAGCGUACAAACAUAACUGGCACCGGCAGCAUCGUGAAUAGAGAUAACUGAACACAAUUAGGAAAGGUUUUAAAAUUACCAACACAGCAAACAGCAUCAAAGGGCUGUGGUAUGAAUUAUUGAUCAAGAAGGGCAAUUGCAUUGACCAUCCACCAAAAUAAUAAUUCUCCUAGUGCCAGAUACACGAAGAAAAAAAUCCUGAUAGGCUGCAGUCACUAACCUGCAACAUUGAGUGAUGCCAGUCAUAUCCGCACAAGCCCUGAUGAAAAAUAAUGUUAAAGAUAUAUUUCAGAUGAAAGAUUUUCAUUUUUAGUUCUGAGAAUUGAUGUGCUUGUCUCUUGUGGCAGCAAACAGACAGAAGAAGUCGGAUCUGUUUCAUCUUGGUGCUGAUGGCACACUUACCAUCACCAUGGAUCUCUAACAGGUGGCUCAUUUUACCCUUACGGGUGAAAUAUUUAGUUUUGUUGAAUGACUUGUACAAAGAUGAAUAUGAGUUAUUAAUCUGAUUGUCAAUGCACAAGAAAAAACACGGUGGAGGUACGCUGUCCUGAUAGUGCAGAUAUUAAUAACUCAUAUUAAUAAUCUGCAACUGGUGCUGGGGUUUUAGAACUGUAUAUCUGAAGCAGUCGUCUGGGCUGAUCAGCCGUAUAUGCGUCUGGAUAAUGGUUGUUAUUUCUACUUGUGGAUGCUGAGGAAAAAGGCUUCGUCAGGUGGGUUAUGGACAGACCUUCCAAUACUGAAUCAAAGCAAUAUGUGGAGAACAGAAAUGCAAGUGAUAUACUAGUACUGAAUAAGUAAAUAUAAACAAAAGAUAGCUGAAUACCUUCUGUGACCUUUAUUUUGCUUAGUGGAAAUUUGGACGAUCUUUUCCCAAUACCUUGAGUAGAAAUACUAUAUCCAAAAGUAUGAUCUAAGGACUAAGACAAGUAAUCAAAGUAAACUUUCCGAUAACCCCACAUGUCCAUGAAACUUUCUUUUUCGCCGACAAAGCUAAACAACGUUGCUUUUAGACCAGGAACAAAUUAGUUAACUUUCUCCUUUGUUUUGUCAGAAUAGUGACAUGAUCGAUAUGCAUUGGAUUAUGCCACUUUAAAUCUGGUUUGAGGUUGAUGUACUGCAAGUCCAGCAAUGGUGUGCUCUGCACUUGGGCGCUUUUGCUCGCCAGUUGGAUAGUCGAUAAACUAGGUCCAAUUAAGCAGGCCACUUGGCUAAUGGCCACCGCGAUCCGAUGUGUUUAUCAGACAUGAAUGCUCUUUCGGCAUACGGUUUCUUGUCGUGGCGGCUCACGCUGAUAGGUAGUACAGCGGCAAAAAGCUUAUGGCAGACAGAGUUUUGUGUGCGUCACAGCCAUUUCUAGCAGGUUGGUCGCCGUCUACAUUCAAAAGGCAUUGUCAUCUUCAUCUUUUCAGUUUCCACAGCAAGGCAUUGGCUGCAAGUGGCAACUGCAAAUAAUAAUAAUAAUAAUAAUAAUAAUAAUAAUAAGAACAACAACAACAACAAUAAUCAACAAACUAUCUAAAUGCUGACCGUACUGUAAACUAUCUAUAACACGGUAUCAUAAUUUACUUUGUUUUAUAAGAAUUUUAUUUAUUAAAGAAAUUAGUGAACUGACUUGCAUUUUGGAUAUAUCUUGUAGGUGUCCAUAUGUGACUAUUUGCGAUUAGAAGGGCUGAGCUGCCCAGUAACCUAAAAUAUUUUUUUUCGAGGAAAGUAACCUAAAAUAUAAAGCUUGUAUGCACAGUCAUGGAACAUGACCAUGGGCAUUAGCAAUAAAGUAUUCAUAACAGGAAAUCCGGUCAAUGUCCACUCUUGCCGAAAUUGGAGGAAGCAAAUGCUAUUGGUACUGAACUAGCUAUCAGAUGUGCCAUUUAAUUAGUUAUGUGGUGUACCUUUGGUGUGUGAGGUGAGGUAUGGGCGGCCGCGUUUGUUUUUUCUUUAAAGUUCUUUUGUUUUGGUCUCAUCUGAUAUGCGGUGGAUUUGGAAUUUGGGGCUUUAUAGUGGAGCUCGAGGGGAGGAAGGUUUGCUGCAAGUCUCUCUCUCUCUCUCUCGCUCCCGCUCCCUCCCUCCCUCUGAGUUGGAGCAAUCUCCAGCCGAGGGGACGUAGGAUGCCCGGUGAAGAGGGGCGAGGGAGGGCAACUUGAUUCGACGGGUAAGCGUGGCAGCGCAAGAUCAGGUGGCAAGAACUGCUGGGAGCUCAGGACAGGAGAAGGGUGGGCGGGGCGCUUGUUUGAUGCUCGGAUGCCAUGGCCAGUACAAGACAAAGAGAAGAGAAAGAAGAAGGUUGAAACAUUAGUGAAGAUCGAACGGUUCAAAAUUUAGAUAAGGAGUCCCGUAUGUUUAUAUACGGAUCUUCUUAUUUUAUCCACCAAGGUUUAUUACAAACCACGUUUUUUUAAAAAAAAAAAUUUGCCCGAGCUAUUGGGUCUGGGAAUUGAUGGUCGAGAUAUGGGAGUCCUUUAAUGUUUAUCUUGGGUCUAGAGUAUCUUGGAUUUAGCAAGGCUAUGUGUAAUAUUUUGUGUGAAAUGAAUAACUUUAUAAAAUUGAAAAAGUUUGAGUGAAUCUUUUUAAUGGCUACAAGAGGUACAGAUCACUCUGAACCAAAGAAGAAUUUCAUACUGAAGGUGAUUUGAAUUUACAUGGGACUUUUUAUUGGUACAUCUGAAUGACAUGUUUUUUUGUGUGUGUAAAAAACAUGUCAUGUAUCGUUGCAAUGAAUUAACAGCUAGAAAAGGUCCAGUGUUGCCUUCAAUGGAACAUAUGUGAACUGAAACUUCAGAUGCCAUAAAUGGCAGCCAAAAACGGAUCAAAGUUUCUUACAUCAUUCUUUGUAAGCUCUCCGAAGAACCAUUGCAUAAGCUAACUUAUUUCAGACGACGAUCAUCUGUGGUCUAUGUAGUAUGACCCUGAGGGCUAAAGGGAAAUUGUUCUACAAUUAUAGCUGUAAAACUAAAAACUAGAUCCUCCCUUUUAUUGAGACGAGCAUCACAAACGCUAGCUAGCUCUUGGAAUGCUACUCUCUUCAAGUCCCCUGUAUAUGACCACUACAGUACGCACGGUACGAAUGAAGAAACGUGGUACAGAAUCGGCAGACAGUAACGAACGUAUCCUGUUUCAGUGGUGCUGAGGAUCCGGCCCGCCGGGGCUCCGCCUCUUGGACUCGCCGACGCCGACGGCGUCGUCCACCUCCAUCUCCUCUCGCAUUACCUUCCCGAGCCGCCCCUUCACGGUCGCGGUAGUCGCCGUCGCCGCCGCAGUCACCACCACCACGGCGUCCCUCCUCCCCAGCUGCCGGGCGGCCUCGGCCGUUGUCACGGCGGACGACAGAACCAGCAGGACGCACAGCAGCAGCGCUACCACCCCAGCCUGAUGCGGGACGCCAGCCUUCGCCAUGUCCACUAUACCCCCACACUGCAGUACUAGACGUCUGGAUCUCAGCUCGUGGGCUCGUGGCAACAAACCCGACGUACCUGCAAGGCUGCAAGCAGUCAGCAACGAGCGUGCCGCGAUCCUGCGAGUGGUCAAGUCCGUGGGUGGCCGAUGCUACGCGAACGGGGCGCGGGUUUAUAUAGGCGCGUGCGGCUGCCUCGACCGCUCUCGAAGAGCCGCGCGCGGGGCUAGACGGCGGCUAGUGCUCGCUGCUGACCCGGCCGGCCGGCGGCCGAGAGGUGCGCGCGCGCGACGUCGUACGUACGUCGGUACGUGCCGAGGUCAAGUCGGUCUGUCCGUCUCUGCAUUGCUCCGACCAUCGCGUCCGCCACCGGUGCCGAUUCGCGAUAAGGCAUAAGGCGGCCGGCAACCACGCACACAAAGGAGGCGCGCCAUAGGCCCUCCGGCACCGCGCCGGCCGGUCACGCCUGCGUUCGUGCGUGCACUAGAGCUGGCCGGCCGGCCGGCAGACUGGGGGCUCGCGCGCGCGCUGGAUGUGCAUGCAUGGCGCGCACUGCCGACAUCAGCCAGGCCAGCAGCUCCUGUGGUGCGCGCUCGUUCUGACGGAAAGGUUGCGCUUCAGAUCAGGGACACAUCUCCCGGCCUCUGUACGGCGCGUGGAUUUUCUUGCACUGGCUAACGUUACGGGGUUUGACCUGCUCACGACCAGAGUUCUUGAUUAUUUUUUUUACCGGACAAGGUGCGUUGAUCGGCGUUGGAAAAAAUGCAUGAUCCGGGCCGGCGUAUAUUUCAAAAGGAGGCGGAUGCAGUAAACAAUUGCAGGCCGGAGCAUUAUCAUGUACGGGUGGGCGUGACCUUUUGGUGGACUUUUUUUCAGCUUUUGCGCAGCCUGACGGUCUGGCGGCGUAUAGAUUAUGACAAAGUGAUUGUCCUUUUGGCAAUCGUAGGAGAGAAAAAAAAAGGUUGUGCUUGUGCGAUCCUGACGUGUCGUACAUGUUUUAGCUUUGACCCCAAAAAUUAUACUAAAAGAAAUUCUUAUCGUGCCUAUGCUGGUAAGGUUAAAGCAAAAAAGAACACACUUAACCUGUAGAGAAGAAACUAGAUAGACUUGUAGGUCUCCUCUGCAAUGCAGAUAAUUAGUUUAGCUAAUUUAAUUUCAAAAACACGAAAUAAGGAGAAAUAGAAUUAUGGAUAUCCAAAUUCGAGUAAAAAAUGGCACGUGUCUGAAUACGGAGUAGUAUUUAAUCGCCAAAAAAAAAAUGAAUCGCCGAGCUAAUGUACCGUCACGGCAUGUCGGCCGCCGCCCAAGAUUGGCGUCCAUGCAUAUGCUUGCUUGGCUGAUAAGCACAGGAUAAUGAACACUCCACUAUUGUGCAUUUACUUCGGCUCCUUGGAUAAACUUAUGAAAUCGCCAUCUUUUCCCCCGCCCCUGAAGACCCAUCCAUAUGGCCGUACUCGCAUCUCUUUUUACAUUUCCCCUGGCGGCAACCAGCUAUCAUAAAAUUAAAAAAAUAUUAAGAACUGAAAAGUUAAAAGUGUCAAUGUUUUCUUUUUUGUUCAUCUUUUCUUUUUAGGGGUUUCGUUUUUGUUUAUCUGGGCAGGAACCAUCAAAUGUCUAAGCCGACACAAGGUUACCGCAGCCCACCGACAGACGAGGCUAAAACACCAAAAAUGGGCUGGAGGCCCAAGAUGAUAGCAAACUGCAACCAAACAGAGGGCCCAAAUAUCUCUCUGACUACAGGCAGAUCUAUUUAUUACUACUACCACUUUCGGCCCUGUGCAGAGGGCCCAUCUCGUCAGAAUUGUACUACUCGCUACGGUCGUUAAAUUUUGACUGCCAUCUUAGCAAGUUUCGGGACUUGAAAAUGUUCCGUAGGUAGAAGGCAAGUUGGUUUCGAAGGAUCAGAGCGCACUCCAUCGAUCGGUGCUUGAUCCAAGUAUACCUACCUCGGAGCGUUGGUCAUGCAGGGCAGGCGGCGGCUUCAACUCGCAGCCGUGGAAUAGUCAGAGGCGAGUGCGCGCGGAUGGCGCCGCCGCCGUGUUGCCGCCGUGUUCCCGCUCCAUUGGGACAGGCCGAUCUCGCCCCCGUGAGCCCUCACGUGGACGUACGCACACACACCGCGGCCGAUAGCGAAAGCGACGUCCCGAUCACGAUCGGUUUGCUCUCGCUCGCGCGCGCGCGCACGCACGCACAUACGGAUCGGCUCGCUCGUUGCGCACACAGCUAGCUAGGGGCAUGCGCCGCUCGUGCGCCCGUGUGCGUUGCGCCCGCGCGCCGAUAUGACGAGGGGGGCGGCAGGGCGCGGGGCGUGCCGCCCGUGCCCUGCGCCGGCAGCUAGCGACGGACACCUGAGCGCACCGCACGUAGCCCCCGCGCGCGCACGCCUGCCUCGUAGCCUCGGCCCCAUGCACGUGACCGUGGCGACGACGGCGAGGGGCCCCCGAUGACGCCGCGCGCGCCGCUGCGCCAGCCAGCCAGCGGCGCCCAUCAUAUCGACACCGUCGACCGGCCGGCCAGCCGGCCGGGCUACGCUCUACUCUAGGCGGGUGAUACGUAAGAGCGGCCGACGCGACGGACACGUCGCCUGACACGUCUGUACUCGCCCCCACCUAUCGAGUCAUCACCAUCAGACUGGCCCCGCCGCCGGCCGGGUACGCCGUAGCGGCCGGCGUCGCGACGUACGAUGAACCCCGGCUUUCCCACGACGAGCUAGCAGAUAGCUAGCCGUGUAGCCUGCUGGUGCUGCUGCCGGUAGUGCGGGUGCGAUGGAACGCAUCACCUACCGGCCGGACGCCACCACCUGGCCGAGCGUAUCCCGCAUCCGAUCCCUGCCCGGGAUGGUGGUUUUGUCACAUGCACACGCAGGCCAGGCGUUCCCGCUUUGGUCGCACGGCUGCUUUUACUAACCAGGCCGGCCGGCACUGUACCCAAUCGCGCGCCGCGCCUUUAUAUUCCCCAGCAACGGAGCUCGUCGCGGAUACGUCGGAGUACGUGGCGCGAGGCAUCAUUCAUCGAUGGCACUUGGGCAGCGCAUGCAGAAACGAAGGACGGGCGCAUGCAUGCAUGCAGCGCAGCGCCGCCGCCAGCCGGCCGCGCGCCACCGGUGGUGCGCGCUCCGGGGUGGCCCAGGCCGCCGUGACGGCAGCCGCGCGAGCUGCGCACGUUGACGUGCGCGAGCGAUGGCCGGGGACGGGGGACCUGCCCUGCCCCGCCCCGCGCGCCCGCCCUGGUGUUUGACUCGCUCGGUUGUUUGGGACCAAUAAUUCGGCGGCGGCGCGGGCCACCGCGUGUCCACGGACCCCGCCCCCCCGCGAGCGGUGUCGCGGCCGGGCGCAUGUCCGCUAGCUCUCCGCCGCCGGGGGACCUCGCGCCCGGGGGGAUUCUGAGGCCGGAACCGCCCCCCUGGCUCCGAUGCGCUGCGGUGGUGGACCGCGCUUCCGUUGGCGACCAUUCCUGGUGCGGCGGUGCCCUGACACGUUUCGUAAAUCGUACCCACGCACCAGUACUGUUGCCAGCAGGCGUACUUCAGCGAGCCACCAGGCGCGUGCGUGCGUGCCCGUUCGGACAUUCGCGGCAUCUCUCAUGUCUCGAUGCCUCGCCGCGUGGGGGGGUCGAACGAAGCGCGCACCGUACCGCUGCCCUGCAUCACCCGACCGCCCGGCGCGGGCGCACGUUGCUCGUUGGUUAGUUCGGGCGGCAGCGGCACUGGUCCAAAAGCCGCCUCGCUUUCCACCACCAUCGCGCGGCCUGCUGGGCACGUCGUCACGCCGGUGAUUGACCCGCGCGUCGAAUCGUAACCGUUGCCGAUCCAUUUCCAGGACGUGUCGGUGUUGUGCUCUGCUACACACUACUCGACGUCUCGACUGGAUGGAUAAUCCUUGGUUUCGUCCGUACGUACACAGGAAGAAAAAAAAAGACAUCGGCGUACGUCAACUUCCGCGCGUGCUUCGCUAGCUCCUCGGCCUUUGCCUCAUGCAACCGUGGACCGUACAUAUGGAUGCAUGCACACGUGUGCAUGUGCCGUACACGGUACACCAAUCCAUACGGUGCAUGACUCUCUCUAUCCGCCCACCCCUUGCAUGCUCCUGUCCAGGAAGUGAUGGGCAGAGCGAUGAUGGAUGCACCAGGCCCGUGGUUGAUGUCACGAUGCGUGCGUGCCAGAGCACGGGCGUUACGGCGCCAGAGCCAACAGGGCCAGUACGAUGGAUGGUCGAUCGGGCAGGACUAUUGCGCGCGCGCGCUGCGCUCCACACGCACACAUGCAUGCGGACGGUUCCGACAGUAGUUUCGGCUUGCUUUAGGACGCACGGCCGCCGUGUCACGCUCGGAGGAGCAAGACGAGGCGCGUCGCUGUGGCUUUCCAGUCACUGCAACCGCGACGUGAAAAUAGCGCGAGGGCGACUGGAGCAUUAGUUAGUUUCAUCAUGAAUACUCGUAGAAAAGAACAUCAUCCGGAGCUAAGUCAAAAGCGACGUCUCCGGACGGCAGCAUGCAAGCAUCGCACGCAGAUCGGCACUAGCUCACGGUGCAACACAGCUGCAAACGACACGUUAAGACUGGCCAAGCUGACUAGUACUAGUCACGUGUGGGCCCAACUGCUCAAGAAAAUUCCAGCAUGGCCAGGACAGUGUUGUAGUUGUAACAGGACUUGGGGAACUGCUGUGGACGGAUUUUAGCCCGUGGUUUGGACCGUGGAUUGGGCAGCAAUAGUCGGUGCUAAAGAGAGAUGGCCGUGCCUUUUGGUUGAAGACAAGAGGAUUGAAGCGUCAAGCUUUCUGUUAUACAAAUAAACAAGAGCUGAAUUCCAACUCGUGGUCGAAAGCUAUGAGUCACUUGCUACUAGGAUAGGCAAAUGCUCAGAGCCGUCCCAACUCCCAAACAAUACUAUGGUGACAUCGACUCCAUGUCCUUGGAUUAGGAAAGUCGAGGGGCCAUUGGCCCAACUAGUAUACCUUCGGCCAACAGGCCUUUAAUUACACUUUAGCCCACGAAGUUUAGCCCCAAGUUUUCCAGGAAUCUGUGGCUGCGACGAAGAAGAACAGCAACUGGCAACUGAAACCUCCGAAGGAAGGAUAGUGCAACGUUGUUUUAAACCGUCGAUCUUGUACGUCUACAAGCACUGCGUGCCGCCGAGCUGGGUGAUCUCCCGGUGAGCGUUUCCGUGAGGGAGAACCCGAACGAGCUUUGUCGCCGAGACCCAGUACGUUUCCGAAACACCACGGCCGUGCAAACCCCACUCGCCGAUUGUGUGGUGACCCCGGCGAGUGCCCGUUGCUGUCUUCCCCAAACAAUGCAACCCCGGGGCCGGUGGCGGACGCCAGUGGCCUGCGCCCCCCUCUUCCGCGCCGUGCUCGCGACCGCGCGGAUGGCUACCGCGCUCCCGGGCUGUUACGUAUGGGGCCAAAACGCGGCGUCGGCUAGUUGCACUUGUGCCGGAUCCGAUUCGUGGUUGUGGCUGCGAAUCGCUCCAUGUCAGAAAUUGAGAACGCCACCGGAGUCGACAGGCGGCUCGGGAGAGCCAUGCCGUGAAUGGGAUACGGUUUGUUAGGAGAUCUGUAGUGGCUCUAUCUCUUUGUUGAAGCUCAACGAGAAGGCACUUUCUUACUGAGAAAACAAGGAGACACUUUCAAUUAAUUAGUUUGCCAUUAAUUUUCAAUGUGAGAUUAAACUUGACAAUAAUCUUCUCUGCCGAAAAAAAAUAACCCAUGUGAUCCAUUGAGAUGUUCAUAUGUCUUCCCAUCACUGGGUGGAUUGCCUUGCCUCGUUUAGAUGCCAUGACCAUAGUAGAAAACCAACCUUUCUUGUUCAAUGCUGAACUGAAGAAAUCGUGAACCAAUCACUUGAUAUGUUCGACUCAACUAAAAGUCCGGCCAUGCAAUUGGACCAGUGUGAACUGCAUGAAUUGACCAGCUUUAUAUCAAAUUAGUGGACAAGUUAAAUGAUUUUCAGUGAACUAGUGAUUAGUUCAAUGUUUGGAUAUUAGUUUCAAACUACAGACAGUAAACCAUUGCGGUAUUGCUAAGUAAUCUCAUCUAUUAUGCCGUGAGUUUCGAUAUAUCUUAUUAUAUGUAUGAUAGGAAACUUGCACAUUUUUUAUACAAGGCAUGACAAAUAAAUAAUAUAUUGAUAAAUAAUAAAUCAAUACUACUAUAGAUGAACCGGUAGUCUGACCAGUUCAGUUUCUAGUCUAGCUUUUCGUUCUAUGGUCAUGAUCUCUCACCAACCGAUGUGGGCGAGGUCACGUAUCGAUUCUCAACUGUAACUUAUCCGUACAUCCUAGAUUUCCCUCUCCAUGUGUCACCCGCUACUAGAUUUUUCAAAUACCAUGCUCUAAUAUUAGGGUUCAUGGCAAUCAAGUCUAGCACGCCAUACCCGUAACUAGCAUCCACCAAGACCAACCCUAUGGUCAUGUUCUUGAGGACAGGUGUCUACCGAAGCCUGCAACUCAUUCAAGGCCACCAAUCGGACUACCGUUAUGAAAAAUACCACGCGGCUAUCUCUUUAAUCACAAUGAUCUCCACAAACCUUCACCCAUAACCCUUAAAGCUACAAAGCUCGAAGCGGGCCAGAAAAUCGAGUUAUUUUAGCAUUCCCCAUUUGAUCCACGAUUCUGAAAAUAUAAAGGCAAAAAUAUCCGAUGAGAGCCCCCUCUGGAACAGUUAGUGAGGGAGACGUCCUACUUUCUGAAAUUCGGCAUGAGCCCUUUCAUCCGUUAAAAGCAGGAAGCCGCUGUGGCGCCAAACAGGGUGCUACCAUUACUCCUCCAUGUGUCACUUACGCUGCACUAAGCUAAUUUAGGGGCAUGCCCUACCCCUUGUUAAAGAUAUGUUUGUACUGCUGAAUCCUUGUCAGCGCAACUUGUGAUGCCCUGCCCGCCUAUAUAUUCGAGGCCAUCGCCUCAUCCGAGAUCACCACAAGUGCAAACGUGCAACACAACAACGCCCUCCCCUGCAUCUCGCUCUCCGGCUAGUUUGGCUAGCUGCUCCCCUGUUCCUGCUCUGCUUCGCUCGCUGCAGCUGACAAGCUGAGCUGAGCUCUCGGAGCUCCCUCCCCUGUUUGCACGUGCACGAGGAGAAGACAGUAGCGGAGUAGAGACUCCGCGCACGCUCGUUAGCCAUGGUGGCGAUCACGGCGCCGAGCUCGAUCGAGCAGAUCCCGCUGAUGCGGUGCCCCAAGGCCAAUGCGGGCCAGGCGGCCGCGGCCAUCCCGUGCGUCGACCUGUCGGCGCCGGGCGCGGCGGCGGCGGUGGCGGACGCGUGCCGAAGCGUGGGCUUCUUCCGGGCGACCAACCACGGCGUGCCGGCGGGCGUGGCCGACGCGCUGGAGUCCCGCGCGAUGGCGUUCUUCGCGCUGCCCGCCCAGGACAAGGUGGACAUGUCCGGCGCCGCCCGGCCCCUGGGCUACGGCAGCAAGACCAUCGGCUCCAACGGCGACGUCGGUUGGCUGGAGUACCUCCUGCUCUCCGUCAGCUCCAACUCCGUCAAGGUCUCCUCCCUGCCGCCCCCGCUCCGGUAAGCCAGCGCUGCUAGCAAGCACCUACUAUCUAGUACGUAGCACUCGCCGUGCAUGUCUGAGGGGUGCGCAUGCAGGACGGCAUUGGAGGAGUACACGGCGGCGGUGCGGGAGGUGGGCGGGCGGGUGCUGGAGCUGAUAGCGGAGGGUCUCGGCGUGGACCGCGCGCUGCUGCGGUCGAUGGUGGUGGGGCGCGAAGGCGGCGACGAGCUGGUGCGGGUGAACCACUACCCGCCCUGCCCGCUGCGGGCGCCGGGGGACUGCGGCGUGACGGGGUUCGGGGAGCACACGGACCCGCAGAUCAUCUCCGUGCUCAGGUCCAACUGCACCGCGGGCCUGCAGAUCAAGCUCCGGGACGGCAGGUGGGUCCCCGUGCCCCCCGACCCGGAAUCCUUCUUCGUCAACGUCGGAGACUCGCUGCAGGUAUUAUACUUUGGCCGCUUUUACCUGUGCAUGCAUGCAUGUGUGCUGCGCCCGCGCAUGGUUGAGUGAGCUCAUCCAUGCCCAUGCUCUCGCCUCUCCCGUCCGCGCCGCGAUGCAGGCACUGAUGCGCCUCAUCUGGGUCAAGGCUCCGGAUGCAUGCAUCGCUCCAGACCAGAGUCAGCAAUCGUGUUAAACGACGUGUUGUGUUGCUCCCGCGCCGCAGGUCCUGACGAACGGGCGGUUCCGGAGCGUGAAGCACCGGGUGGUGGCGCCGGAGGGCGCGCAGUCGCGGCUGUCCGUGAUCUACUUCGGCGGGACGGCGGCGUCGCAGCGGAUCGCGCCGCUGCCGCAGGUGAUGCGGGACGGGGAGCAGAGCCUGUACCGGGAGUUCACCUGGGGCGAGUACAAGCGCGCCGCCUACAAGACCCGCCUCGGCGACCACCGGCUCGGCCCCUUCGAGCUGCGCGCCGCCGCCAGCGAGCCCGCGCAAGUCGCCGACCCGCAGCCGCACUGCAGCAGCGGCACCUGCAUGCCGCAGCAGCAGCAGGUGGCGCAGGUGUACUAGCUCUGGCUGGGACCGGGGAGAGGCGUGCCAGGCUAGGCUCUGGCUGCAGGCUGCAGGCCCUGAUCGAUGGAAUCAUCGAUUCGACCUGGCCUUUUGUUUAAUCCAUAUCGGGUAACUGGGUUGGAUGCAGCAGUAACCCUGGCAGGUCCAGGACUGGCACCUGCAGCCCUGCUUCUCUCGCUGCCUGAGCUUGACGGCCUUGACCGCUGCCUGCGUGUACAUGGCCGGGCCGUCCUUGUAACUUCCCGUAGUAGUGGCUAUUGUUUGCGUGUAUGCUGCCCACUUUUGCUGCUUACUCUACCCUACUUUAACGGGCUGGCGGUUGCUAAUGACUGCUUGGGCACCGUACGGAAACAGGCAGCUCAAUUAGGCUGCGCAUGUAACUGCAUCCGUGACUUCUCUUGCUUAAAAGGGGGAUGCUACUGCCAGUCAAUUGUUGAAAUUUCACACCAGAGCCGUCCGAUCCGAUCUCUGUGGCUUAUCUAUCGGCUACAUGUUUGUUUCCUGCUCCUGCUACACCGUGCGUGCCAUGUUCUUCUUCUAUCGUGCCUUCGCAUACCGAUCGGACGAGCUACCUUGCCCACCCACCACUACCUCCCAUCGUACCCAUCAUUGGAUCCACGCUCGCUGCGCCCAUGCCACAAUAGACGGUUUCGCCGGUCCAUUCGAACCUCCCACUCCCUUCGGCAGGCACAACCGGCAUUUCUAAAACCUAACCAACGGAGUAAUGCAUUAAUGCUCACCUCGAAAAAUUGAUUAUGAUCACAAUCACAUAAAAUCUAGCGAACAUGCUCUAUAAAUAGCAACAUCGUGAAACAGUUGGCUAUAUAGAGGCAGCUUUUCUGUCAGAUAUUUCUACCAAUUAUUUGGGGUUUUUUUUAUCCCUUUGAACACUUAUGCGAUCAGAAUUCGAUACUGUCAUCGUGUUUGUUAGGCAUUCUCGGUGUGAGUUUCAUUCUUAUUUUUGACACAUCAGCAAACCUGGUGAUACGACAAAGUGCUGUGAUGAAAAAGAGAGAAGAUGAGUUUCCCUUCUGAACAUUCGUGCGAUCAAAAUUUGAUAUUGUCAAUGUGUUUGUUAGGCAUUCUUGGUGAGAGUUUCAUUAUUAUUUUUUGACACAUCAGCAAACCUAGUGACAUGACAAAGUAUUAUGAUGAAAAAGAGAGAAGAUGAGUUUCCCUUCUGAACAUUCAUGUGAUCAAAAUUCGAUAUUAUCAAUAUGUUUGUUAGGCAUUCUUGGCGAGGGUUUCACUCUUAGUUUUGACACAUCAGCAAACCUGAUGAUAUGACAAAGUGUUAUGACGAAAAAGAGAGAAAAAUGAGUUUCAUCUAGAUGAAACCCAUUACGCACUAUUUCCAACAUAUUGGAAGUGAAACUCUACUGACAACAUUUCGUUCCAUCCCCAAGCGCUGGAAACCGAGUGAAAUUGCACUACGAGCAUUUUAUUUCACAAUCCUAUGCAAAACUUAAAUACUGUGGCAUUUGAUUUCACGCUUAGCUCACCCUCCACUGUUGCCUGGCCAUCGCCUCCUCCCAUCCACAGCGGAUUGCUUGCUCUGAAAAGUCAUACUAGUAAUAUUUAUUCUACAUUGCCGCUGGGUAAGUUCUCAGACGUACUACUCCUGGGUGAGACCGACGGGUUCACGCUCGCUGCAUCUGCCGAUGUGAUCGGAGACGGGACCGGCCGCAGGCUGGUAGGGGACGGGCAAGCACACGACGCGCUCGCGCGGGGCGCUGCCCGUGCCUCCCUCCGCCUACCCUGCCUACUUUCUUUUGUUAGGAUACAGACGCUGCGUGCCUGACCAGACGAGCAAAAAAGGGAACUCCGUGAUAUCCACUGGAGACUCGAAUUUCUCGAUAAGUCAACAGAUUCCCCGUAGCCUGAACAGGUCCUGAACAUUGACCAAAUCAGCAGGCACUCUCUCCGUGCUUACAUUACGUGAGCCUGUCAUCGAUUCAGCACCUGAGCAUUGUGCUGUGCAGUUCAUGACCUCCUAUGGCCACAUGCAUCAACAUUUCUGUUUACAGUCUGCGAUGGUGACACCCAAAACAACUCUAGAAUGGGCGUAGCAGAGCACAUCAAAGUGAUCGGCAUGAACAAUUGAACAGCUGGUACUUGGGAACGCCGCGUACAUCCACGUGAACCCUUCUCUGACAGGCGCCCAUGUGGCCACGCCCUUUUUUCAGAUGUACGUGCGUGCCUUCUCUCUCUCGGUACGCGCCCGGCCCAACCCACGCGCUACCGCUACCAGUCUACUUACCACUUUUGCCGGGGCACCCAGGUUUCGUCAGGCCUCGAGCGACGGAGAUCGAGCCGCCCGGGCACCGGCUGCUGCCGACAUCGCGCGGCAGAGACCACAGGAGAACUGUUCACCGGUGACGCGUCCUGAACUCGGUCAGUGGGUGGCGUACGUCUGGGCAGGCACGGCAAGCUCACAUGCAGGCAGGCAGGCCGGCCGGCCGGGCCGCGCCGGCAAAUCAGCUGGUGCUGCCGCGCGAACCCUACGCGGCACGCACGCGCGUACGUCGCCUGCGGUCACCGGCCACCGCCCGUGGCGCGGGCGUUAUUACGGGCCGGUCCGGCGGGGUUCCGGUGCCGGAUCAGUGGCCAGAUGAUGGAACGCGAGUGCGAUCUCCUGGCAGCAACCCCGGCGGUACCGGGGGCGCGGGGUCGGGGCGCGCACGCAGGAGCUAGUGGCCGAGGCGGGGCCGCGGACAAGACGUGUCCGGCGUACGCCCCCGCCACCUGGCGCGCGGCGCACCCCGAUCCGGCAUGGCCGGCGCGCCGCCGGCGACACGCCCCGUCGUUGGAUUCCGGCACGAAAGCACUAGCAGUUAGGUGCGUGCGUCUCCACCUCAAGUUCGGUCAGCUUGCUAGCGCGACGACCCCAAACGGGUGCUGGCCAGCGCGUCCCCUUCGACGCCCUGCCGGCCCCGGUCGGCCCGUCACUGAUCGCCGUCGCCGUCGUCGCCGGCGAUUCAAGCAGGUGGGCCGGAGCAGGAUCUCGGCGUGGCUACCAUGUCUUAGCGUGUCGACGUGUGCGCGCGGACGUAGGGGGGUCGUCGAGAAAGAUCAUAUCGUGCAAGCUUUAUUUUGGGACACCACGGCAGUGCCAGUUAGAGUGUGUAAUGAAGAACUGUACAAGAAUGCAUCCCAGAAGGGUAUUAUCAUGUGCAGGCAGAUUACCAAGUUCGGUGGCUCCGAGCGCGACGGGGGCCUGUAGUUCUUGCACGAGCACGACCAGCGCCGGAGCGCCGCUCUGACGUGCGUGUUGUUUGUUCGCUCGUUUUAGCAACCGCGACAAGUAUCAGCACGGGUGCUCCUGCCCGUCCCCGGCAAGUACACGGCUGCCUGUCUAAUGAUAACGAUCCAUGCUCCGUAUUCCUGCUGCACCAUCAGAAUGCGCUCGACCAUACUAGGGGAGUUUGCACCCCGAAGACCGACUUCCACGUCGACGGGUUUUCCCCAUAGGUAUAUGAAGAAUACGCAGCCAGAGCCACCCAAACAUGUCCAACGUGCAUCAUGUCCUAGUAUAAAAAUUGACAACUUGCAGUGGAGGAAACCGUUUCCUCUGAUUAUGGGACAGCAUUAUUGACGCUGGACCAGACAGAGCAGGUAGCAGCGAGUGCCCCCCCGGCCUGAAGAUUCACUUGCCCCGCAGAACAAAAGGCACGAAUUGGGGAGCGCAUGCACGCGGGUAACAGCCACAGCCUCACAGGAGUCAUUGCCGUGCAAAUGAUGCUUUGUCAUCUGAUUUGACCAAAAGGUGCCUGCGGCAGAUUUGCAUGAUUAAGCUGGCUGUCUCCACGGCUCGCCCUGCAGGAUUCUGCCCCUGGAAAAAGGGUAGAUGCCGGGUCCUUUUCUCGUAAAAAUGUUUGAACGGCUUCAAAUUGUCCAUCCGUACUAAAUUAUUAGUCAUUUCAGUUUUUAUAGACUUAUAGAUUUUGCUAUGCACCUAAACAUAAUAUAUAAUAUAUAGAUACAUAGAAAAAACUAUGAAUUUAAAAAAGCUAAAAGAAUUGAUAAGGGUCACCAACUAAAAUUUAGCUGGCUAAAUUUAGCUGCUAGGGAUCCAAAUGGCCCAGCUAAAAGAUCAACUAAAGUUUAGCUGAGUUUAGCUAUUUCAACAGAGUUAAAUUCAGCUAAAUUUUAGCUGGGUCUAUUAGCUGAAGGAUCCAAAUACCUCAGCUAAAGUUUAGCUAGGAGAAUUUUUAGCUGGCUAAAAUUUGAUUUUAAAAUUUUAGCUAGCUAAAUUUUAGUUGAGUGGAUCCAAAUAGAUUCUAAUUUGAGACGGAGUGAGUAUAUACCGUGGGGGUGGCAUCCGCUAUCUAAGAAGAUACGUCACAUAGGAUUUUGGACCGAUGACAUGUUGGAGAGACAGAGAAGAGAGAAAGAUGAUACGCAGUAAGUAAUAGACGAUAUGAAAGCAUGAUAGAUUAUUCUUACGAUGCAGUCUCUAUUUAUGGCUACAUAUAGUUCACCAUUAAGUGCCAUCAGACAACUCAAUAAUAUGAAACGGUAGCCGUUACCAAUAUCUACCAUUGUACAUGCUCUUAACAGUUUAUGUACGCGAGGCUUUGAUUUUCCAUAUCCUUUAUAUCUAUAUCUAUCUAUCCAAUGGUCGUCAAUCGCGACCCUCGAUUUCAGUUGAUCGAGAUAUGUUUGUUUUUCUUUUUCAUUGUUCAUUUGUUCUUCUUUGUAGUACCAAAUCUGGCUGGAUUAAUUGUGUCUGACCUCGUGCACAAGAACAGAAAGAGCCCAGCAGCGCCUGCGCCGAGAGGACAUGGCGAGGCUGGCGCCACCUCUAGGCGUCCGCCUUUCGGGAGCUACACCGAACCGCCCGUACCAAUGGAGCCACCGUGGCGCUGCACCCAGCACGCGGCGCGAAUCAAUCGGAAGUUCAGAUCCUGGACACGGGCGGCCCGGGUAGCGGAGGCCCCGGCCCCCCUUCGGCUUCGUCCUCAUCAGAGCAGCAGCAACGGAGCAUCGCGCACAGGAGAGAAUCUCUGUCGCGCGCGCCAGGCGGAAAUGGUGGCAGCAGCAGCAUCCCCCGGCCCUGCGCAGAUCGCUCUGCCCCGCGCGCGAAACCGAUUGGACAGCUCGGAGCGCGCGCUCGAGCCCUUUUGCGCUGCGUCGUCCCCGUGCACGCUAGCCGGCCGGCUCUAGAAAAGGUUAGGGUUUGAGAUAAAGAUGGGCGAGGGCGACGACAAGAGGCCGGCCGGCCCUGAUGACUUCUCUUCGGGGGCAUCGCGAACGUACGCGCUACUGGUGCUGGACGCUAUCCGGAUGUCGGAAGGUGCACCGCACCGAUGGGCAUCCGUUCUUGUCCUCCGAGUGUGCCCCGGGGGACUACCUAGCUAGACCUGCAGGACCAAUGCCGGGUGGGAGAGGAGAACGAAGGCCAGCCGGCGCCCAGCGAAGGAACACGUUUUUGGCCGUCCUGCUGCAUGCGCGAUGGAAUCGGAGUGAGGAUAAGGAAGAGGUACAGCCGUCCAGGACCAGAGCCGGUGACCGCGCGUCUCGUGCUCCCCGUGCCUGACCACCUAGAGCACUCGAGCACAGCUCCACGGGCGAACAAUGAGGAAGAGGUCCAGCAAUCAUACGUCCUCACCGGAAGCGGAUAGAUGUAUGCGUCCAAUUUCAACUUGUGACAGAAAAGGAGUGCCCGAGGCCCGAGCUUAGCUUAUCUCCUGAUCCAGCUCGCCCGAUCGAUCCUUAGCCCAUCUGUCCGGCUCCGGCGCUGCUGAACUUCCCAGCUGCAAGAAGUGGUCACUCACACUCACACAGUCAGAGAAUGCCCCCUCUCUUUUUUUAAGAUCGCCACCCUUUAUUAAUUAUGAGCAUACAGCAGGUAAGGGUUAUAAUUUACAAAAGUCUUCGGACGGACGCAAAAGCCACACAUUCCUGUCUACAGUUUCAUGAAUCGAACUUCUUGCCAACCUAUGCGCAUCAACAUUGGAGCCUCUACUUUCAUGGACGAACUCUACAGGAGUGAAGCAUGACACGGCCCUAUGGGCCCAUGCCGUCUCGUUGAUUGUUCCUGACGACGUCAACACAGUCGCUCGCUGGUCUAAAUUUCAGCAGGAGUAGAUCGCUCGCCAGUGCCAAACCUUUCCUACACGUCACCGUCGACUGAUGAAAAUCUCUCCAUUCUUUUCCAAAAAAAAAAAUCUCCACAAAGCCGUGCGCUCAUAGCAGGCUAUGGAAAGAAUCUCAUAAAUUGCUUUGCGCUUCGCAUGCCAGAUCGUCCAUUGUGUCACCACCACUCGAGACUCACCACCGCCGCGAGCCAGCUCCGGGCAUCUGGUUCUGAGGUACUUUCUCCAUUUCUCCGUCCUAAAUUAUUAAUUAUUUUAUUAUUUUUAAAAAGAUGUAUAUACUCUCUUCUCGCUCACGAGUCCAAACGCACAAACCGGUUUUCGCUGUGCAUUCUCCACGUUUCUGCGGUCCUUAAUGGAACAAGGCCUAUUGCGCAAUGGACCUCCGGACGCGUGAUCUUGGGUCGGCCCUUCUUUGCUCGGCCCGUACGACCAGUGCUGCAGCACAUUUGCGAGUGGCGAUUCUGCCUGGCCGCCGACAAUAAUCCUGUCGGCCGGGGCGCCGUAUCUGGUGGCAACACCCAGAGUAAACAUAGAACAGGAGAUGGCGAGUGCCAUGUAAGUUUUGAACAGAUGUCAUGAAGCUAUGGCCUAUUGCCUAUUGGCACAGCUGCCUACAAACUAAACUGGUUCCCCAAGAGGUAGCCUAGCCAGUUUCAGUACCGUCGUACAAAGCUAAGAAAUGGCUCCAAAUGUGCUCAAGAGGAAACAACAGGAAUUGUGAAAAAAAAAAUCAAAACCAUCCGGAAGAGAAGGGAGCAAAGAGGCACUGAAGAGCAAAUAGAAACAGACCAAGCAACACCUACUUUGAUGCUUACUGCACUGAAGGGAGCCACAAGUACAUAGCAUAAUUCGAACUGUUAUGGUUCGAUCAUUUUUUCCCCUAUUGCAAACAUUGCAAUUUGCUCUCUCAAGCAGGUGAUAUUCAAUCGUGAUCAAACUAUGACUGUUAUUACAAAUAUAACCCUUGGUUGUCAUGCCCCACUUGCAUACAGGCGAGUCCACUCCUUCGCUGCAAGAAAAAGAGUGCCUUAUUAAGACAUCAGGAAAGUAAACAUGGAUCAAAUGUGUGCCUAUUAAACCACGGAUGUGUUUACUGCAUUGCCUCUACAUGUACCUGUCUCGACAGCUUCAGCUUCGUUGGCUUUCCAGUGUUUUGCAAUGUUGUCUGAGAGAGGAUCAUCUGGAUUUGGUGCGCUCAGCAGUGCCUGGAUGCUGAAGACCAAAUAUUAUCAGAGGCAGUAAGGUAGCGCACUGAUGUAGUAGACAUCAGAGAAAUGCACAACCAGUCUGAAAAUUGGAUACUAUGGUGAUAUAGUGUUUCAGUAAGCUUGCUCACGUUUUCACUAACUAUAAUGUAGUACGGGAUUCAUAUAUGAUCUACCAUCAUAACUAUGUUGCCAAGCAAGCAAUAACAUAAGCAGUUACCUCAAUAGAACAGUACGUAUCUGAAGAGCUGGACUCCAUUUGUCCUUAAGAAUGUCAAGGCAUAUCCUACCAAGCUGCAAAUUUUGGCAGAGAUGAGCUAUAACUUUCUUUCAUCACACAAAGAAAAGUGCAAACAGUAACAUUUGCCUACCUUGUCAAUGUUGGGGUGAUAAAUUUUGGUGAGAAAUCUAACCUGCAUCAGCAGCAGACGAAAUAAAAUACCGUAAGAAAGGCUUACUACACAGUGGCAAGAGACGGAGAGUACAAAUGGAAUAGCUCUAAAAUUAGACGAUGUUAAUCCCCAAAUAGGGAAAAAUACACACAUUUAGAGCUUACAAUAUUAGUUGCCAACCGGUGCAAGCAAUGAGUCAAUACAAUUAUAAUUUUUGCUAAACCCCCUCAUUCUAAUAUUUAGCAAAGCGUACCCAAGUUUUAACUACUGGACAACUGGUGAGAGUUAAAUCAGAAGUACGAUGUUAUGAGCAAUGAGUCAGUACACUUGAAUGUAAUGCUUAUAAAAAAGGCGAGUGUUAAAAUUAUAAGAAAAGAACAAUUCUAGGCAGGUGUGGUAUCUUCUGUUCCAGCGAUAUGGACUCCCUGAUCUCUCACCACAGCCUGCUGGUAAGGUGUUCUGUGAAUGGUGGCUAAAGAUUAAUGCUCUGGUUUCCAGAAACAUGAAGCAAGGGCUGAACUCGGUGAUCAUUUCGGGUGCUUGGAUGUUGUGGCGACACCUCAAUGGUUGGGUGUUGAAUGGAGCUUCCCCAAGCGUACAGCUUGUCCUCAGCAAAUUUUAGAGGAAGGAUAUCUUUUGUGUUUACCAGGAGCUAGGAGUUUAGCACAGCUAAGAUGUGGCUGUUGAGUAGAGCAAUCUGUGGUUAGUUUUGGUUGUGGUCGUUCUUUCUUUAUCCUGGGCGUGAAUGUAAUUCUGGUACUAAUGUGUGGGUGAGUGCGUGUGUUUUGGGUGUGUUGUAAAUAGUAUUCUUCGUCUUAAUACAAUGAUACACAGUUCUGCGCAUUCGAGGAAAAAAAGAGCAAAUCUAAGAUAGAAAAUUUAUCAAAGGAAUGCUACUGAUGACUUUCCGGUGAAAGUGAAGGGCUAGUACUUCUGAUCAAUUAUGAUUACCAUGCAAAGUGAGUAGAACUUAAGAUUAGACAUGAAACCACCAGAAAAGGAAGUGGGCAAAAAUGUAGACAUGCAUAAGAAACACCACUUAACAAAGAUGAAGCAUAGCAAGUUUUCAUUACUGAACAGCUACGCAGAGUUCAUUUACUAGCUAACAUAUAUGGAAGGGACUGCAAUAACAAAAAUGAAAUGUUACUGGGCUUGUCAGUAGGCUUUAGGAAGUAACAUCAUACAAAAUUCUUCUAGACAGGAUUAUGUUGAUCAAACGGAAUUCGUAUCGGUGGAGAAAAGGAUAUGACUGAGGACACAGAAUGUGGAAAUAUACAUGCCAGUUAAUGAUUUGGUAAGUAAAUUAAUGAUUGAUCAAGAAAUUACUUUUGGAGCAGCCAUGGGAUAUUCCUCAGGCAAGAAUAGUUCAAGCUUGAAAACUCCUCCUGUCCAACAGAUAAAAAGAAGUUAUAUCAGAAGAAACAUAAUAAGAUUUCACAAAAUCAAUAUAAAACUAUUAGCUAUUGCAUCCUUAUCUACGUACAACAUUUCAGUACUCUUUACAUGGCACACAAGAAAUGGUAGAUAAUCCAUUGUGUGGUGACAUGUGAGCAUAUCAUAGCAGUAACUUGUAUGAUCACUAAAGUUAAAAGGAAUGGUGUCAUGGGCAGAUUAAUCACUAUGCUGCCAGCAUGAACCUUACAAGAGUCAGAACUUCCAUGCAGGAGUAGUAGGGAGGAAAUAUUCCUACGUGACUGACAUAAUAUAUAGAUAACUGAAAACGCACUAAUAAAAAACAGAUCCACUAGGAAGUCUAGAAUCUAGAGCUUGGAUUGGCACGUGGCAGUUGGCAUAGAUGAAUACACAAACACAACAUUUGGAUGUGCAUAAGCUAUCCAUAGUUCUAUACUGUUGAGCUAGCUGUAUUCUCCUACUAGAUCAUGUUCGUAAUGGUAAUCCAUGUACACUUGUCCACUAUUCAUUUGCAACUUCUUCAGAAACAAAACGAGGCAUACAGAUAACUAGAACAUUUAACACAGACGGUAGUCUACAGAACACUACAAACAGGGUUCACAAAAUCGAAUCCACACGCCACGACGCAUGCAUUAAAGCAUGAGGAGCAUACAGACUACCAAUACAGCAAAUAAGCCAACUAAAAUCGGUAAAGAGGAACACCUUCAUAGGGUGACUGCGCGGGGCCAAGGAUCAUGACAUUGAAGUACCGCAUGUUCUCCUCCGACGGCGACGCGCUAAUCCCUGGCGCUGCACGCACGAAAAGAAGACCAAAAUCGGGAUCAAACAGCACACCUGAGUAAUGAGGCCGGAACAGUAGCAGCGGACUCCAAAUUGCACCAAAAUUCUCAGAAAAAAAAUAUCUCGCGAAGCGGCAAUUGGGCACCUGGUUCGCUGAGGAGCCGCUGCGUCUCCUGCACAGAUCCAAAUUCGUAACGGAUUAAUCACAAGCGAGAAAGGUGUGUCGGAUUCCACAGAGCAUGAGAGGUGCGGCGGGGCGAUAGAUCUGCGGAUGGAGCCGGGAGAGGCGACCAGAUCGCGAGGCGCACCUUGAUGAUUCGGCGGGGGAGGUUGCUGUUGGCCAUGGAGCCGGGCUGGGGAGCGCAGGGAUGGAGGGGGGGGGGGGGGGUGGAUUGCCUCAAGCUUCGUGCGGCGACGGAGGAAGACGAGACGAGACGCGGGGGGUCAAAGGAGCCGUCAAUCGGGUGGGUGCGAAUGGGCUGCGAGCCAGCGACACACAGACGGACGCCUUUAUAAACUCUGGAUCCUUUCAGCGCCGCCGCAGCUCCGGUAAUUCUGCGCUCUCAGGUUUGACGUCGUUGCCUUUGGUUCCAACCUUCAAUGCAAGUGCCUACCUCAUUUGGUAGAGGGUAAUCUUUUUUUAAUCUAGGAACAGUAAGAGGCUUAGUACCUACCUCAUUUGGUAGAGGGUGGCUUGACGCAUUUACAAUAUACCAUCAUUUUCUUGGAUUUUGAGGAACAGACCUUCAUCAAUGCAAAAUUUCUUCUCUACUGCUUUGAAAAUAUGUCUGGUCUAAGGAUUAACUACCAGAAGAGUGAAGUGUUUGUCAUUGCAGUGGAUCUUGAGGAACAAAAUAGAGUGGCUGACAUCUUCAACUGCACUAUUGGGAGCUUCCCUAUGAAAUAUCUUGGUGUUAUGAUCAGUAACAAUCCCAUGAAGAUAGAUGAUCUGGCUUCUGGCGUCUAAAAAGUUGCCUUCCUGGCAAAGCUAUAAUUUAUCAAGUGGUGGGAAAAUGAUCUUGAUUGAAUCAUGUUUGAGCUCUAUUCCUAAUUACUCUAUGGGUGUUUACAUGCUACAGUUACUCUAUGGGUGUUUACAUGCUACAAGAUGGGAUUCCCCAUAAGAUGGACACUGCUAGGUCAAAUUUCUUUUGGCAUGGCCCUAGCUUAAAAAAGAAGUAUCAUAUGGCUAAAUGGGACCUACUGAUAUCUCCAGAAAAAGCUGGGGGUUUGGACUUCACAAAUACAAAAAUCAUGAAUAGGUGUCCGCUUGCUAAAUGGAUUUUCAGAUUAGAGAGAGGUGAUUCCAAUAUCUGUUUUGGAUCUGCUGAGGAGGAAAUAUUUAGGUGACAAGGGCUUUUUCAGCUGCCCAUACAGAGGGGGGUCUCAAUUUUGGAAAGGGUUACAUGAUAGUAAAGAUAGCUGUCAGAGAGGCCUAAAAACAUGUGGUAAAAAAUGGCAAAAGAUAAGAUUUUGGCAUGAGAUCUGGAUUGGAGAAUGCCCUCUGAGAAUUCUAUUUCAUAGGCUGUUUGAAAUUUGCCACCAACAGAAGUGAUUUGUCUAUCAGGUUCUGGGCACAGGAGAGGUCCACCUGACAUCAGAAGAAAUUUUGGGGGAGAGGAGGAGUCAGAAUGGGAAAAUCUCCUACAACUGAUGGAGGGUGUUAUUCUGUCACCUGGUCCUGAUACUAUGACCUGGGCACUAAAAAGGAGUGGAAUCUUCUCAACUGCGUCGUUAUAUAGAGAGCUUCAAUUCCCUGGCAUGAAAAAUGAUUUCAUGAUGGAAAUCUGGGAAGCUAAACUGCCCCUAAAAAUUAGGAUCUUUCUUUGGCAAGUUUGCCAUGAUAAAAUACAAUCUGCAGAGCAGCUUGUCAAAAGAAACUGGCCGGGUAAUGUAGAGUGUAAAAUGUGUGGCAUGGUAGAAUCCACAUAUCACAUAAUUUUUGGAUGUGUUAUGGCUCACUUUUUCUGGUGGUUCGCUAGAGAGGUGUUUGGCUGGCGUUCGGUUCCACCCAGUGUUCCUGACUUCCGGGAAUUAAUUUUAGAGCGGGCUAACUGGAAAACUAAACAAAUAUACAUCUUUCUUUUCGGCAGUGCAGUCCGGUCUCUCUGAUUAAUUAGAAAUGAUUUUGUCUUUAACAAUAUCGUUAUCUCCUCACAUGAGGUUUGUGUCUUUCGUGUGCUAUCUUAUAUGCAACGGUGUGUAUCAGAUCUGGAGCUACGGGACUGCGCAUAUAGCAAUAAAAUAUUCUGGAACAAGGAAUGAGCAUAGAAUCUAUGCAAGUAGGACUAGUCGGAAUAUAAGGAAACUAAACGAGUAGUAUUGUGCUAGGAUUACUAAGAUAGUAUCGGGCUGGAAUUUUACGUAACUCUGUCCCCCAGACUAUAUAAGGAUGGGCAGGGACCUCCUCCAAACAAUCAUCACACCAAUCUACAUUAAGACAAUACAAAUCAUCGUACAGAACGUAGAGUAUUAUACAUAUGUAGAUAGAUUUACCGGUAAAACACCGACAGUGGGAGAUCAUCUGCAAGGGAAAAAAACAGCUCCAGGUGGCUGACGCGAUCCAACAACUGAAGCUGCGCCUAUCGUCUUUGCAGUCUAGCUCCUAAGCAGCUUACGGUUCCCGAGUGGAGGGGAGCUUACCAUCUCAGUGCUCUUUGCUUAGUCCAGUAGUUAGAAGAGAGGUCUUAGAGGGUGUUGUUUUCCUUUUACAGCUUCUGCCUUAAGGGAAGCCUUCUGUUAAUGCGAGUUUUUCAGAAACUCUUUUGCUUGUAAAACUGGCACCCCAGUACACUCUUUAUGCUUUCAGUAAAGCUAGGCCGGAAGGUCUCCGGUCUAAAAGAAUCAUUUUUUUUGAAGGUUAAAUCUAGGGGAAAUCUUACAUGGAGAUUUGUUACUCGCUCUGCCUCAUGUUGAAAAGGAAACGAUCCUCAACCACUGUUGCCGUAAUGUGUUUGAGUGUACGAGCUGCAGGUUUCCAGGAAGAAACAGAAGAUUACGUUAAAAGAGAGAGAGAGAAAGAAACAGAAGUGCCAGGUUGCGUUAGUCAACACGAACAUCCUGAUUUGUUCCUCGCAGCAGGCACUCGUCAUCGGCAUGCAACGGACACAGCGGGAAGAGAGCGAGAAGUCCGCGCACAAGGGCGCGAAAACGUCUUGUGCGAAGCCGACCAGCAAGGCAGAGCAACCAGUGCUGUUUCUGCAGUGAUCAAGGGCCCACGGCUGCUUAUGUUCAGUUUCAGGUAAGCAAGAGCAUGAUGGGGAAUGGAAAAAGUUUCUCUUGCUGCAGCAUCAGCCACAGCCUUCCUCGGACGCACGAAGCCACGAAGGAACAUGAAGCCAAGGCCCAAUGCGCUGGGUGGGCCUGACCGCCUCUCGGCCUAUCUAGCCCAUAGCCCUCGAGCCGCCAGGCGUCAUUGUCAUUUCCAGAUCGUACUCGCCGUUUCAUCAGCUUUGUCAACCAGAACAGCAAAUCUUUGCUGAAAUUCACUACGAUUUCUCUCCUCUUGCUGCAAUCUCUCUCUCUCUCUAGCUUCCCCCAAUUCCCAUUGCCUACCUGGCACAUCUCCAGUCCGCCUUCUCCGGCUCGCGCUCGUCGCUACGCGAGCAGACCCACGCUCGCCACCUGUUCGACGGAAUAGCUCCGGGCGGGGGAGAGGACAGCGGGGCUGCGACUCCGGCGGCUGGUGGAGACGGCAUCGGAGCACUUCCCGGACGAGGUCCACCACCACAUCCUCGGAGCAAUCCGGCUUUCCAUCUCUGUCUCGGCCCGCUCCCCCCAUCUCGAACCGAAAGGGCACGUGUGUCUACACACACACACACACACACACACACACACACACACACACUCCAUCCGUCAAAAAAAAUACAAGUCAUUCUAAUUUAAAAUUCAUUCAAAAAUAAAUCAUAGUGCUAAAUAUGAAUUAUAAAUAGAAGCAAACAUAAUUAUUUUGCCUCCUUGUUAAUUUAUCCUAGAAUUUCUAGCCUGUUUUUCUUUAGGUAGGGAGGGAGUACACACUAACCCCGCUGUGGCUCGAAGAUGGACAUCAGUUUUAUGCGAUUUGUUUGAAAUAUAGCAAGUACUAGCUAUCGCGAAUCAGAAUUUCCCAAAAUGCAUUACGGCGAACGGCUCCCUCACUGGAAUGGGCGUUAACUAUACAAAUUGUUUACCGAGCAGCAAGCAAUCCAGCAUUCACAUGCGUGAAGUGUGUCGCACCAGCUCUAGCAGCUGCAAGCGGACGCUACUCGCCGUUUAAACGCGAACGGGCAAUAUCCUCUAAUGCCACCUCAUAAAAAAAGGAAGAAAAAAAACUCUUAUCUGAAGUACCGGGGUCAGAGAUUCAUCCCUUGUUUCAGUGGCUUUGGCGAUCAGGCAGCCAACUCAAGCACAAAAUCUUCUUCCGCCUUUUGCUAAAAGACCGGUUGAAUGUCAGAGGAAUGCUCAGACUAUAAGAACAAUGCACCUAGAAGUCUACAGCUGUGUUUUCUGCACAAGCCAAGAGGAUGAGACAGUUGAACAUUUUUUCAUGGCCUGUCCUUUUGCACAGCUUUGCUGGAAUAGCAUUGGUUUCCAGAUUCAAACAGAUUUGGGUCCUUCAGCACUUCUGGAAGAUUUACGGCGCCAAAUUGCAGCACCUUUCUUUAUGGAAGUAAUUACACUUAUGUCAUGGAGUAUUUGACCUUGCCCAAUAAUUUCAUUUUCAGGAAUGAGGCUUUCUCAAUCCAGGAGACCAAACAAUGCUUCUUACGAGUUUACCCUGGUUAGUUUGCCCUGGUUAUCCAUCGGGCAAAAAAGAAAUACUUCCCAAGUAUUGUAUUCUAGAGGCUCAAGUUCAGGGGCUAGUUUAGUUUUCUUUUUCGUUUCUUUCUGUAAUAACUCCUGUACUUUCCCUCUUUUUUAAUAUGUAACCAGUAGGGGCUCACACCCCUCCUGUUACUUUAAAAAAAAAUACCGGGGUCGCAAAAGACAAGGAUGCAAGUAGCAAAAACGUUAGUUGCAAUUAGCUCGGAGUUGCAUGUUCCCAGACAAGAAUGGGAAAUGAUUUUGACACCAUUUUCAUUCACCAUGUUUUUGUAGACAAGGUCAGACACUCUGAGCUACACUGUCAAUAAAACAAUCAGGUAAACAGCCGGGAAGAAACACUGCCAACAUAGCUUUACACUAAGAAUUUUUAGUCCCCGAUUAAUCUUCAUGUACUAGAUUACAAACAGCGGUGAACCUGAGAAGAACAGCCCAGACUAAACAAUACCCCAACGGCAGUAGCGUUCACUACCAAGCAGCCCUUCACCAGAGAGGACGCCAUCAAUGAUCUGCAUAAAGAGAAUUUAGUUGGUAAGCAAUGAAUAAAUCAUUUAAGAGAACAGCAGCCAUAAAAUCAUAACAUUGAGGUAUAUUUGUUCAGGCAAAUGCUAAAUAACAUAUCAAAAUGACUUGCUUUUAUUAUGCGCGAGAGUAUAGCUAUUUAACAGGCAAAUUUUGCCAGAGAAUUUAGCAUGAUACAGAAUGCAAAUGUAAUGGUAGAGUAAUCAUGUUAAGAAAUAAGACCUAAUCCAUCUGGAUGGUACAUUACAGUUAAAUGAACACAUGUUUACCCUAUUUUACAUAUACCACAAAUCAACAAUAAUUUUUGGACUAUCAUGGCCCACAAAAAACUUGUAUGCGGACAAGAUCUUAAAGUUUCAGUGUCGAAAAGUCAUGGCUCAGUGGCUUGUUGAGCUUCAACUUAUAAACAAAGAAGGCAGGUUCAACAGACAAAGCUUAUUUCUUAGUGGUUGUACAAGUGCCUUGAACCAAAACAAAUUCCUGUUCAGCUAUAUCUAAAGAUAUGAAAAGCUGCUUUCAGCAGUUCUAGCCAACAGUAGGGCACAAAAAUUGAACCUGGACCUCAAACCCAGACAAGUGUUAGACAAUAUUCAGGCCUAAACAGCAAGGUUUAAAAUCCCACUAGUAUGGAACUAUGGAUAUUUCCCGGUAAAUAAAAAACUCAGCCGGUGAGGGAAGACCGCGCCCCAAUGGUUUUAUCACCAAGAAGAAACCUCAGUCAAACUGACCAAGGAAACCCCUGGACCCUGGCUUCACCCUAUAGGUAAAUACAUGGUACUUCAGUUUAUUUUAGCUAGCCUGAGCUCUCCUUAUGGUUAUAUGUUGUCGUAAGCUUGAAGUUUCUUAAAUUUCAAAUAACAAAUGACACAUAAUUGGACAGUAAUCAGCUGCCUGAUCACAGAAAAAACAUUCCAGCCAGAAAGGACCACAGCAAUAUCCACAUGAGUUACAUCUGGAUUUUUGUUACAAGAUCAACAACUGAAAAAUGACAAGCUCCUCUUAUUGUAAACAUAACUAUGGCAUGAAACACAAUAAGUCCAACCUGUGUGUAACACUUGCACAAAUAGGGGCAAGACAAGAUUAUAAAUUUUUAACUCAGCGGAGCUCAGGUGCGCAGACAUCAGGAUACAGAAGUAAAAUAAUAUGGAUCCAAAAGUACUCUCUUCAAACCAAAAUAAUAAACAGAUCAUCAGUAAGUACUUGUCAAAUCCCAAAUUUAGACAAUCACAAAUUUAAAACUAAGUAAUAUUAACAGAUAAUCGGCCUAACUCUAAUAUAUCAAUCCCAUACCAAAUAUUUAAGUUUUUUAAUGGGCAUGAAAAGGUCAAUGCAACCCUGGUUUGUUUAACAAAUUUGACACUGAAUCCUUGUCAAACUCAGCUCAACAAGGAUCACCAACAUGUAAACAACUACCUCCAUUCUCUUGGGCAUGGCAUUUUGGAUAUCAGCAGCCUUCUCAAACAUACAAUUUUACGUUUCCUAACUAUAUGUUAGCAAAAAUAAUACUUUGAUCAACAUAUAGAUUUCUCUGCCGGCUGAAUCUACUGUAGUUUCACUAGACAAAUUUAAAUUAUUUUACACAUAAUAGAGGGAAAGUUUGAAAAGGCUGUCAGCAUGUGCUCUAGGAAAACAAAAGGUCAUAACACACCCCCGGCCUACAGCGCUGAGCCUAUGAAAGCCUUUGUUAUCAUAGCAUACAUGAUUACACUUGAGCUACCGAACCCAAUUGAUGUGCUCGAUUUUAACUUCAGCGACUCAUUCACAACAUAUUAAGGAGAGGCGGAGACAAUGGUACAAAAUUCUCGAGCACAAGCUGGAUAAUUGGAGGUGCCAAAGAUGGAUUACUCUCCAAAAGUGUUGAAGAUUGUUUAUUCUUGAGCAAAUUCGCGCUCACAAACAGGCUCACUAAUUCACAAGAUCAUGAGUUAGUUUCAACUAUGUCAAGAAAAUAAAUUCUCAAUGCCAAACUUAUCCCGAAUAGGGACCAUCGACAAUUGUGACACAGCACAGUUAGCAUCCGAAAAGUAUCCCUCUAAUAAAACAUAACAAUCUUGUCUGUAACUAAAACUCACAUCCACAGUAGAACUAUAUAUAAUAGCCAUAAAUCUGAUAAAUGAACAAUUGUCUAUGGCGAUGCUAACCCAAAAUUUGGACUUGUACCUGAACUCUUCCUUCAACAUCAGAGGAAGGUGGAGGUGGAGACAAAAGGCAUCGAAGCAACGGUGGCAACCAACUCCAUUGCACCAGCGCCAUCAGCUGCACCCCCUGUAGUCUUCUUAGGGCGCUUUGCCCUAGCAAGCUUCACAUGGGCGUCAACGAAAUUCUCCAUGCGUUUCACCUCCAGCUGCUUCAGGAAUUCGAUUCGCUGCCGCUCCAUCUCCAAUUCAUGCUUUUGCUUAGCAUUCUCCACGCGCUCGUACAUCUCUGCAAAAGCCUCGAUCGCCCUUGCUAGCUCCUUGAAACCUUUGUCGCCCCCGCUGCCAGCCUCAUCUCUGCUGUGCUUCUUGUUAUUGCCAUUGCCAGAGAGGGAAGACACCGAGUGCGAUGGCGACCUCUGUGAAUUGUGAUUAUUGAUACCACCGUCAUCAUCAGAGUCCUCCAGAUCAGACACGGCUGCAGCUGCAGCUGCAGCGGCCUUCUGGAUGAGGGCAGCAGCAGGAAGUGGAGACCCACGGUGGUAGUCGGGCAGCGGCAGAGCCAUAGGCGGAGGCGGGGACGGUGAAGACGACUGGUGGUUCCUCAAGGCUGGUGGAGGGAAGGGCAGGGCAAAUUGAGGCGCCUGCGACGGUGAGGGCCUCUUGGAGGCGGAGGCGCUGAGGGUGGGGCCGACGAGGCGGUCGAGCUCAUGGAAGAAGGACCAGCCGGACGGCGCGUUGCGGGCGCGCUCGGCCUUGUAUUUCUUCUUGAGGGUGUCGACACGGUUCUUGCACUGCACGUCGGUGCGCGGCGGGCGGCGGCGCGCGGAGGCUCCCCGGCGCGAGUUGACGGCGUCCGCCACCUCCUGCCACUGCUUCUGGCGCAGGUUGCCGCGGUUGAGCUCGACGUAGCGGCUGCCCCAGGCGGAGACGAGCGCGGCCGUCUCGCCGUCGCUCCAGCAGUCCUCCCUGUAGGGCAGGUUGGGAUUGGGCGGCGGUAGCUUGCCCCCUCCCCCGCCCACCGCCGCCGCGGCGGCCGCGGCCAUCGCCAUCUCCCUCACCUCCAUCCCCUCCUCCUCCGGCGCCCGGAAUCAGAUCUCGCGCCGAACCCUAGCCCGACGAGACGGCGAGCACGGAAGUCGUGGUGGUGGCGUGAAUUGGGGGGAGGUGCGGUGAGGCGAGGCCGGGUGGAAUAAAAGGACACGGCGACGGAGGGGUGGGGCGCCGGCCGAGGACGGCACGGCGCGGCACGCGCGUCGCACGUGACGACGCGGUGGGGGCGACCUGACCGGACCCUGACCGGCGGGCGGGGCUGGCAUCGUGGUGACCCGAUCGGAGACGUGCCGCCCGCCGUUGGAUGCGUUUGACCGGGUAACCGGCGAAAGCGAGGCCGGUGGGUUUUGGGUUCGGAGACGGGGGCGGGUGGGGACAGCAGGGAGGGGCGCGGGCGGCCUGCAGGCGCGGCGAGCGUCGUAGCGCAGGCGGGCGAGGCGAGGCGAGAGGCGACAGGCCACCGGGGUCCGGAGACCGGACGGCACGCGGUGGCGGCGGGAAAAUUACUGGCGUGCCCCCGGGUGGUGGCGGGCGGCAGGGGCAGGGCGGGCAAUUCGCGCGGCCUCGGGGCACGGGAGCCGCGCGAGCGUGUCAGGUGGGGGGCGUGGGAUCGCGGGCGACUACUGAGGUGGUCGCCGUUGGUCGGCUUGCGUUCAGGCGCCGAAAGAGAAGAGGGAGAGAGAGAGAGAGAGAGAGAGGGCGAGGGUGGGAGAGGCGCGGCGGGGGAGGCGGGGAGAGAGAGAGAAGACAACUACUCGGCUCGGCGUGCUCGCGUAUCGCGGCGCGGGGUGGGUGGGGGGGGGGGGGCUGCUGGUGGGCCCGCGUGCGGGGAGGCUUGGCAAUUAUUGUCGCCUCUGUUGGGUGGUGGCGACCUCGCCGGCCAAGAGGACGGCGCGGCGCGGCAGGUUGCGCUCGCCGGCGCGGGCCUCGGCUGGAUACGGCCAUACGGGGGUCUCGAUGCGGCUGGCUGGCUAGUCGGCGGCGGCGCUGCGCAUCAACCUCAUCCAUCCACGGCAGACGCAGGAUGAGUGCAUCAUUUUUCACUUUUUUUUAUAGCCGCCGCCGUCGUCAAACUUAGUUUUGAGCAGCUCAAAAAAAGCUAGUUUCGAUCGUUUGUUUCGGUGAUGGAAUGGUAUCACCUGAUCGCAGCGAUACAUCAACGAUUACGAGGUUGCAGAAUCGCCAAAUUUCGCAGCGAUGGGGAACCACCCACCUGAAGCCGCCGUUGCUUGGCAUGCCAGUGUGCCGCCGGCACCUCCCGCACGGUCACGCAGCUGGCAACCUCUUUCUCCUGCCGCCGGUCACCUCACCGUGCGUCCAACGCCGUCCCUUUUUUAUUCCGGGGCAUGAUAUUCCGGCGAAUCGCGCACGACGAGCCGCCCGACACGACACCGGUGGCCGCCGUCCGGCCGUGAAGGGCGGCGCCGGGCGUUCACCGUUCGGCGUACGUGGUCCCCCUCCCCCGCGCCGUGCCGCUCCACUCCACCAGUCUCCUCUAAUUCUAGAUGGCUACGCGCGCCGCCGGCUGCUCUGGCCCGUGCGACCGGCGGCCAGCGAAAGGAAAGCCGAGCCGGCCGGUCGCAUUGAAUUGGACGGACUUGCCCUCCCCUCAGGCUGCCCGCCGCGCCGCAGGCCCUUGCCUGUCACGCACUAGCGCGGCCGGCACGGCACGGCAUCGCACGCGCCGACGCGCGCGCGCGCGGCGUGGACUCGGGAACCACCACCGGCGUCGUGCGGGUCCCCCCCGGGCAACGUCCGGCCGUCCGGCCCGGGCGCCGCGAGUAACGCUCGCUUGCUUGUACCCCACGUCCCCACCACCCCACCAUCAAUUCCCGGCCGGCCGGCCGGCGGGCGGGUACCAGCACGUCGCCCGCCCGCCCGUCGGUUUGCCUUUGCCUUUACCCCCGCCCCCGUUUUCCGGCAGGGCCGGCUGGCUCUGGCUGUACGCGCCCCCGUAGCCCGUGGCAGCCACGCCGGCCGGCUCUGCCUGCGGCCUGCCCCAAGCAAGUUGCCAAGGAUUCUGUACGUGGAUCUGGCUGGUUUGUUCAAUUGCGUGAUCAAUACUAGAAGUUCGUACGGCCAAGAUGCUAGCGCUAGAGGUAGCCUUCAGCCUGGUCAGAUUUGUGACGCCGGCGACGCACGCCGCCGCGGACAAGGACUCCAUCCCUGAGGCGCUUGAGUUGAACCGGCGGCCGUGAGACCGACUCCCUGGCCACGACUUUUCACACGACGCGAGCAGCGCGCCGGUGACGGAGUCGCGCGCGGCGUGCACGACGCCGCCCACCGGUAAUGCUCGAGCCGGGGCAGGGCCUUCACGCCAUUAACGUUGCGUCGUUUUUCCCAGUUCCUCAGGCCAGUUUUCGCGCGGAAGAGGCGCAAGCGUUUUCGUUCGGUUCGAAGGGAAACGGCCGGUUACAGCGCGGGCUUGGAGUCCUCACCUCGGUUAUUGAGGCCUCGGACCGUGGUGGGCUGCAGUGCAGGGCUGGCCCGUGCCGGAUGACCAGGCCCUGCCUCGCCUCUACGGCUCUGCCCAUAACUGAAAAAUUCUAAAGCUGGUUAUUGGAAAAGAUUUACUAGAGAAUCGUUGGAGGUGAUCUUACCGAAAAGCUGGUGCGUCUUCUAUCUGCGAUCGACACGCGAGGUGCGUGCCCGCUGUCGCCGCGGUACAAGCUGCGCAAGUUUCUGGAGUUUUUCAGCUCUACGCAGUACGCACGGCGGCACGGGGAUGGACCGGGCACCGACGGACAGGGGUAAGCUCAGGCAGACGCAGCGUUGGGUGGGGCUGUCACCGGUCACCGGUCACCGACCCGGCGACCCCAAGCUACAGAAAGCUACCUGGUCGACGGAUGGAAUCCCAGCGACGGCAAUCGCGGCGGCACUGAAAUUGCCCGCUCGUCGCAGCGGCCUUGGCAGUUGGCACCAAAACUCAGGUAUGUGCAAACUGAAACUGUUAAAUAGGCGUGUGUUCAUCGAGUACAGUUUGCCGUUUAUUUGUUCUCAAAGAAGUUCAAUCAGAUUUCUAAUGCUAAGGGUUUUAAAUCACUCUAAGUCACAAGUCACGAGCGAGUGAAGUGAGAAGCCCCCUGGCCGUCGUAACUGGAGGCCAGGCUUCCGGUCCAAGUCGCCGGCUCUGACUCUGACCCCCAAGCAUUUGACUGAAGCAAGCUCGAUCAGUGAAAUCUUCAGACCACAAACAUGAAAUCUAAUCGAUUUAUGAUGCACCCAAUUAUGAGUUCAGUCAAAAUUCAAGUACAUCCAGGCGCAUGUAUAUAAGCACACUGCGAGCCUCGUUGGUCGUUGCACCUGUGGCACCUGGUGAGCUGCUUGAGAACCGCAGGUUGCAGUGGUAGGGAGAGCAGCUAGACUGCAGAUAUGCUUGGGAGGAGGGGCUCGUCAUCCAAGCCGCAUGAACCCAGCACCGGGGCGGCCGUCACUGCGGAAAACGGGCAGGGGCAGGGGGCGAACUGAACUCGUCCGACUGUUACCAUUUCCCGAUGUUCAGCGAGAGGAAACUGACUGGUUCUUGCGUCCUUUGUGGCAGAUGAGUCCGUGACUAAGAGGCUGCAUCGCAUGAAUCAGAGGCUGAGGCAGCUCGAGCAGCAGAUGGAGACACUGGAGGCUGACGUUGCCAAGGCGAGCGGCGAUUCUGAAAUCUUAGAAGGUCGCAGCUGAAUAGGUGAUCGCCUUUGGCGACUCAGCAGGCGAAUUUAGAUGAUAGCGUCAGUGACUUCGCCUGCUACAUAUAGGCGACUGGGGCGAGCACCAUGGCAGGACCUUUUCACGUCGUUUUGGAUGCUUCAAUACUUCAGUUAUAGUCAGGCGAGCACUGUUGUUGAACUUGGAAUUUUCACCUCCUCCUUGAGGGUUCAAUACUUCAGUUAUAUUCCUUCACCACCAUAAGUUCAUCUCUCGGUCAUUUGGAUGACCAAUUACGACUUCUCCGUGGAAACUACAGCUGACACAAAUUGCUGAAUUUAGAUCACCAACAACCAUGAUUAUAUAACUAAAAUUGCAUCACCAAGUUUACAAUAAUAUAUAAAACGGUGGCUCUGCAUGAUCGUAAAAAGAGAAAAGCAGUAAAAACCACCUAGACACUCGCGUCGCCCCCCGCGUGGGCGACUCGGGCGGCGCAGAAGCACUAGCCACCGCCCGCUACCCCGACGAAUCCCUCGCUGCGCCGCCUGAGCGGGCCACCGGAAGCCCGUGCAGCUUGCGAUGAGGAUGGCGGCGGGGCCUCUCCCCAUCUUCCGACGGAUCUGGGUGGGCGCGGCUGCCUGAGUCGUCUGAGGGGCUAGCCGGCGUGGGCGGUGCCCCGCGACGACAGAGCCCGAGGGCCACGGAACCGGCGCUACGACGGCCGGAUCCGGUGGCUGUGCGGGCGCGCGCGUGCGAGGCGAGGCGGAGGAGAUGCCUCGGCCGGCGACGGAGCGGCGGCUGCGCGCAUGCGGACGGCACCAAGCCUCGGCCUUAGGGGCGCGAUGUGGCGCUGCCUGGUUCCGCGACGGCUUCGCGCGCUCGCAGAUGCGCAGGCCCAGCUGCCGGGCAUGCAGGCCGGUUGGCGGCGCCUGUGGCCGCGAGGGGGCAGCCGUAGGGGGGAGGAUGAGGCGCAGCGCGACGAUGGCGCCGCGACGCGCGCGGCGUGGGGCUGGGCGCGAAGGUGGGGGCGGCGCGGUUUGCGGCUGCAUCCGGAGGCAGCGCGGUUUGUGGCUGCAUGGUGGCCGGCGUGAAGAUGGGAGCAGGGACCGACAGUCCGACGAUGGGCGUGGUGGCCACAUGCGGCAGCGGCUGGCACAGAGCUUGGGGGCAGAACAUGGUGCAGGGCGUCGACGCGUCUGUGUGGGCAGUGGCGGCCGAGGCUGCGUGAAGCAAUGAGCUGGCCGCUGCUCGAGGAGGCAUGGCGGCGGCGCUGCACCCGGGAGGACUUCCGUGGCUGCGGUCGCAGGGCUGAGUGCUUGCAGUCAAGGAUGGGAUUCUUCGGGCGAAAGCGUUGCCGGCGUUCCUGCCGGUGGCGAUGGCGACGGCUCCCUAGGGCAUCGUUCUACCCGUUGGGGGUGUCAUCGAGCCCAUCCCUGAUGCACAACGUUCUCUGGGUGAAAAUCCUAUCCGCUCAUGGACGAGCAACAGCGGCGCCUUUUAGUGUCGUCACCUCCUUGGAGGCGUCGUUUGAAGAGAACCAUCUCGGCCUGUGGCAUUGCCGGUGUCGCCGUUGGUCAUGGGUGGCUCUGCUGGUGGUGCGGCAAGGCGGCUGGUGCAGAUGGUAGGCUUGAAGAGGGUUGCCGAGCUCUCGUGCUGGCGACCAAUGUUAUGCCAGCAACCAGGGGUCGUCGCAUGGGUGUCGUCUUCGGCUACUCGUGGCGGACCGCGGCAGCUGGCGUUGCUUGGCAACUGCCAGUGCGGUGUGGGACUGCGUCGGAGGACGGCGCUUGCAGCAACGACAUCGUGGGACGACUAGGUUUGCAGUAGACUGCGGCAGGUUGCUCAGCCUCGCUCGGCGACUCCGGUGCGGUACAUCGUCGGAAGAUGGCGCAGACGACAACUUGGCAUGAUGGCAUGACAGCGGAGGCUAUUUGCGCGGGUGGUGCAACGAGAUGCUGUCGUCCGGCGGGCGCGGCUCGGCUGUUUUGAUGGGGUUCUUGGAAACAGCGCAACACUGUCCAUCUUCUUGACGGUGACCUAUUAAACGGAUUUGCGACUCGGAGUAAUGAGGCGGGCGUGGUGAGGUCCCCGCGAGUGGUGUCUUCAGCGAGGCGACGAGCGAGGUGGAGUCCAACGGCGGACGUGGCGAGACCUCCGCGCAUUGUAUUAUCACGGUGGCGACUGCAAGGCAGCAUGUGUGAGGUCCGGAUCCGGUGUUUUCACCUUGUUGAAUGGUGAGUGGUGUUACAGAGGCACCACGACGGUGGAUCCCGCAUGGCGGUGUCCUUCUUCGGUGAGGUGCGGUCUGUUUUUCGCGUUUGCCUAUGGCCCGGCGCGGGUCGUACCCGAUGACGACUUCAUGAGAUCGAGAUGUUUGUUAGCCACGGCAGUUAGGCUUUGAUUCUGCCUCUGUCGUCCAGCGGAGUGGUCUCCUCCGUGUCGAUAUCACGAUCCGACCGGAUAGAGUUAUCUCGUGGAGAUAAGUGGUGUGGUUUGCGUUAACGUUCCAAUCCGAUCAGUCUGAGUUGUUAAGUUGAGUUCGGCGGGCGUUCAUGCUCCAAUCCAACCCGCCGGUGUUGUUUUUUAUUUUUUUCCUGAUUAUGGCUUCCCAGGGUUAUAAUCUUGUAUUUUUUUCUACCAUAUCAAUAAAAACGCACUCGUGUUGUGUUGUUCGUUAAAAAAAAUAAAACGGUGGCUCUCAAAGAAAAGGGAAAAAUGGUAGCUCCAUACAAGAGGCCCUUUUCCUUUUUCAAUUCCCAACAAAAGCUAAUCCUACAUAAAUUUUUCGUCCCAGAAACAACUCCGCACAAUGAUCGUACACGGCCGAAACCGUUCCUUGAUCCAAAACGGAAGAAAAUGAGGUAAACUCUGACAGCGGAAGCCAUUGUGGUAACAGCACCAGAAGAGCGCCGGCAGAUUCAACUGGCUGAAGUAUGUAGCUAUUCUGUGACAUGAAGAACUCCGAACAAAAUUGUUACUCACAAGCUAGCUUUGUCCCAAAGCUGCUAAGGCAGAUGGCGAACGCCUGAAACGCUGAGAGCGGCUGGCGAUAAUCCAUAGUGAAGAAAUCACUAUCAACCUUACCGAACUGCAGGAGAACAGUUUCCUCAUCCCCGACGCUGUCAGGAUGGCUCGGAUCGGCUGUAGCCACCAGCUGGAAAUUCUUGACAGAUGCAACUGUCACCCGCCCAUGGAAGUUCAAGCACCAGCAUUGCAAGUGCUCGUGCCACCGUGGGGCUUUGUUUCUGAGGACAGUGGUACCCGUUCGCCUUAGAGACUUCACCUUGAGGGAAUUCUCCCAGGUCUCUUGAACUGAGGGACACUCCAUGGCGCAAAACAUCCUCCUAGGCCCACUGGAUUUGAGCAGGUUGCAUUUGUAGGAAACCUGUCCAACAUCAAAAUUCCCUGACGAUACUUGAGGACUGAUUCGCCUGCUUCCAAAACGCCGAAUAGAUCGCGUGCUUGACGCCUUCGCACCAUCAUAGGGUGGCUGGCUGUCAUAUAUUUUGAAGUUUGUUCCCCAAAAAUCAGACCUGCAAUGGUGCAGCAGAAGUAUAGUCAUGUUGAUAGGCCAAAAGAUUACAACACAAACACACAAGACUGAACAAAAAAUCGUUUCUCCAUAUUUCUGCACCAAGAAAUCAAAUGUGGAGCAGAGUAAUGCUGCAACAUAUAAUCUGCAACAGUAAUCUGCUUACUAAAAAUUCAUAUACUUUUGGGAUGCACAGUUCCAAUGCACAAGACCAAUGGAAAGGAAAAACAAGAGAAAAGGACCCUCUGUUUUUUUAUUAAGGGAACAUAUAAUAGAUAACAUGGAUAAAGGAAAACUAGCAAACGUAUUCAUGUACUAAAUUUGUUUGCUUGAUUAAAAUAAAAGCAAAGGAAAAGUUAAAUCUAUUUUAUGUCAAGUUCCGGCUCAACCGCUCAUGUUUGCCUUAAUGUUCCCCCAGCAUCAAAGUACAAAUACAAAUAACUACAUAGACCAUAUAUUCUUGUAAUACUAUCAAUUAGAGAAAAUUCCUUAUUUGGCCCUACUAAACUUACCUCUUUCUUCCUUACCCCCUUUUUUUUUAAGAACUUCCUAUCUGACACCACAACUUUCAUUCUUCCCUAAAUUAACCCUUCUUUUGCCUCCAUUAGGUACCGCCGUGAACUCACAUGCAAACUUGUCGGAUCCUUUUAGGAACAGACCAAAAUGCCCCUGCUCUAUUCUCCCCUCCCCCACUCGAUUCCUCGAACCUACUAAACCGACGGCGGCGGCGGCAUGGAUCCGGCGGAGGAACCAGGCGGAGGCACCCCCCCCCCCUCCCCGCCCCCACCACACACGCGCGCGUCAAGGUGGAGGCGCGGGAAGCGUCGCACAGAACCAGGGGGCGGCACUGUAGCAGCGCGGGAGGCGUCGCGCGGCAUGUGGCGGGGGGUGGCGCUCGUGCGUGCGCGGCCUAAUCCGCGGGCCUCCCGCUGCAAAACUACGAGUAGGGGAGCGGCAGCCCCGGCGGCUCGCCGGUGGCGACCACACCGGCGCCCAAACCGGGCCCGCGGCCCUCCCCCCAACUCCCUGUACCACUCAUGCCCCAAAACCUCCGAGCACAGACGAGCCAUGGCGCAAUGCGGCCGACAGCACCCAGGGCUCCCAGCACAGACCAGCCGCCCGACCGGCACCACAGCACCCCACGGAGUGCGCCAAGACCCGCAGCAGCGCCUAAAAACAGCCGGAGCUCCCUGCUCCACCGCGACAGCCCCAGCCAAGCCUAACCGCGACGGCGCCCGGCCGUUCCGGCCACCCUUGUCCCAGAACCGGCCAACCGACGCUGGGAACACCAUCCUUACCUCUCACUCCUCCUCGCCAACCCCUUGCAACACGACCUAGAACCCAGGACACCCAACUUCACCGAUGGCCUCACCUAUACGGCACGACGACAGACGGAGGUGACGAAAACUCGAUGCUUGUCGGUGACAAGGGAUGGCAGGGGUUGGGAUUCGAUCGAAUGGGUUCGUGGGAGUGUGAGAAGGAUGAGAGUGCAAGGAAUUUGAUUGGAUCGAAGAGAGGGCGAUGAAUUUCGACGAACAGAGGAACUCGGCCAAAAGAGGAACAGACUGAGCGGGAGGAAGAAGAUGACUGCCUGUGGUGGUUUAUAUUCAAAUUCUCGCCAUGAUCCGAUUGCCAGCACAUGCCUGCUUGUUUGGGCGUGGAUCCCUUGCAACGGGAGGCGGCAGGCGCGCAACGUAGGCCGGGUCGCGGGGCCACGGGCCUGCUGCAGGACCCGGCUCCCUUACCGAGCUCCUCCGCAGCCAGUUGCAUCCCGCGCAGGUUGGAGUCCACCACCAGGCAUGCCACCGCCCCGCCGCCCUCCUUCUCCUCGGCGAACGCCUGGCGCAGGCGGUCCCGGAACGGCUCCCAGAGGCGGUCGUUGAUCCACAGCAGUGUGCCGGCGAAGUCCGCGUCGCUGCCGGACGAGAGCAGGUCGGCCGACGGCACGCCCGCCGCGUGCAGGGUGCCGGCCAGCUGCAGUAUCGGGGUGAGGUGGCCCUGGAACGGCAGCGGGAACAUCAGCACGCGCCGCCGGCGUCCACCACCGGUGCCCACCGGAGACACCGCCUCCGCCGUCGCCAGGGCUGCUCAAGAACUAGCUUUGCGUGCGUGCAGCCUUGGAGCGCCAAGGAGAAGACGGCGACGAAUCUUGAGGUUUGGUGAAGCCCGCAGCAGCCUCAAGCGCUGCAGCAUGUACAUGUACAAGUAGGGGUAAAAUGGUCUUUUUACGUGGCGGUUAACACUGUUGGUGCUCAAAACUGACGGAAGGGCCAACUUAGGAAAGAAUGAAAGCUGUGGUGCCAGAUAGGGAAGUUCUGGGCCAAGGAAAGAAGAGGUAAGUUUAGUACGGCUAAAUUGGGAAUUUUCUCCAUCAAUUAUCGCUUCUUCAAACUCAGGUGAAGUAUAAAUUUCACCUCUAUAAAAGCAAACUAUGGGCUGGCAUGAAAGUACCUCAAUUUUCCCAAAUAUGCCCUGUUUCCUUGUGACAGACCAUCAGCAUCAAGAGAAAUAAUAUACUCUGUAUGAGCACCCCAUCUAAACCUUUUGGCAGCCAUGAGAAACUUCCCUUUGUCCAUGGCGACUGUCAGAUCUUAAAAACAAAAAGAAAACCUUAUGUCAUUAAAAGAACUUAUUGGAGAAUCAAAUAAGGAACGAACAGCCAUGUAAACUAAAGCAAAAAAAUGCUAAACAAGCAUGCACUUGGUAAACUAUUAUACUGAUCCAUGUAAACUUUUGUAGCUAGCUUAUGCACACAAUCCCCUCUUCUGUUCCAUAGAGGAGAGUGUCCAUGGUUUUUGUCCACUAUCAGGUUGUGCUGAUAAUAAAAUUUCUUAAUGUGCUAUAUCAUGUUAUUACACUGAAAUGGACAUUCUGUUCUGAAUUGUGCGCAGACAUACAAAAGCAGUUCAAACAUAACAUUCAGUAAGGAGAAGUUUGUACGCGUACAUUACAGAUCCUUAGAACAACUGAAGCAAAUAACAGAGAUGAAAAAAGGAAACACGGAACAAACCAUGUUUAUUCACACUGCAUUCCAAAGUGUUGUCUAAGAUUGAAGUUCACUAAGACGGAUAAGAAUAAGUGAAUAACACAUCAAAGCAUGAAGGGUGGCACUGUAUGAUGUCAUACAUACUUACUGUUUCUCAAUCCAAGGUAGAGAUAAAACGUAGAGUUCUUCUUGUUUCGCUUGAUGAAGCACUGGAUCGGAAAGUCUUUUGGCCCUGGCUGUUCAAAUCACAAGGAAUGGAGGGAAAAAGGAUCAGUUUUAGCUAUAGAGCUGCCUGAAAAAUCUAAACUAGACACCUGAAGCCCCUCAUUUAAACCUUCGACAUAAAUAAGAAAAGCUAAAUUGGUGCUAAAUUGCUCAAACCCAAAAAUGGACAACAAGACUUUGACACAUCUCGAACAAAAUUGUGAACUGAAACAUACUAGAUAGAUACAAUCCUAAUAGACAAUAAAUCAGGAAAAAAAUCCACUUAAAAUAUCUGGCAAGUAAAACCAGUGCCAUAUAUUUGGAUUUUGGGACAAAAACAUAAAAUUUUCCGAACACACAUAUCAAAUUUAGCGCCUAAGCCGACACAUUAGCACCUGAACUAAAUCCAAGGAUUAGUCUAGAUUCCAAACGUAGCACUGCAACAGUUUCCUGGUCAUGGUGGAAAUGCCCAAAUCCUAUGGAAACACAGCUUAGUCCGCAUCGAUCCCAAUGUAACUAUCAAAAUCCACCAUAAAACUGGCAUUUCUACAUCUCUAAUGCGGCAGCCGAGACACAAAAUUGGUGGUAUGCUGACAGAACACUGAGCCCAUCGACGGGCUCCUCAGUCCUCACCUGCUUGAGCGAGGCCGGGAACGUGAUCUUCCCGGACUCUGGCAGCGGCCGCACGACCGUCGCGGCGGCCUCGCGCCACCGCCUGCAGACGGAGGCGCAGGACACCACGUCCUUCAGCGCCGGCCACCGCUCCCCGCCGGACGCCUCCACGCGCCGCACCACCUCCGCCACCAGCUCCGGCAGCAGCCGCGCCCACCUGUCCUCCUCCCCCUCCGUCCCCGUCCCCACCUCCGCCACCCCAUCCCGCCUCACCACCUCCCCAGAUACAGGCGACGCCGCCAUUCCGCACCACCUCCUCUCCCCCUUCCCCUGCUUGCGUGUUCUCGUCAGUGGUGGCACGGUGCCGCGGGGAGAUUGCUGGGAGAGCCGAGAACCCCGUGUCGUGUGCGCCGCUCGGGGACAGAAAUAAAAUUCGCUCGUGCCUGCGGGAAGCGGAUCUAGCGCUCGCACUCCUGUGGCGCGCGCCUUUAUGGCCGCGCACGACGGUUUCUAGAAGAUCUGCUACGGAUUUGGUUAGGCAGGUGGGCACGAGCGCUUCCUCUCCGUUCCUGUCCACCGAGGCCAACGCUAACGCCACCGCGUUUUUGCUUGGUCGUCAAAGCGAAGACGCGAUGGAAAGUCCACGGGCUGUCGGAAUCUACAUCGCAGAGGUCGGGAGCAGGGAUUGGCCACGAGAGGGUAAAACUUUGGCAGUGUUCUGACAGGUCAGUCCAGACAGAAAGGCUUCGUGUCUGGAAACGUUUCAGAUUGAGCAAUGCUGCAAUGGCGUGUGCAGGCUUCACCGGUGUGGCGAGCGCGUGCGAGAAUCAGGCAACGAGAGGCUUCGCACGCCAUCCUCAGGAGAUUUGCUUGCUUCAAGACGCAGCAGAAGGAUGGCUAAAUUUAGCGUGGAUUUAGCAGAGGUCUGCUGCUAAAAUACACCGCGUUAGGAGCAUGUCCGGUGACCGGUCCGGACGGCAGAACCGGGGGAGAGAGAUAAGCAAGGCGGCAGCGGGCAUGCGUGACGAGGACGACGGCGACGGCGACGGCCUCAUACCACUCGGCGCAUCAUCUUCUGCCUUCGUGGGCUCAGUUUUGGGCUGGACCCGUGAUAUCCCUGAUUCGCCACUACCACUACCGCCCCACUUUUGAUUUUUCUGGAAGAAUCAGAUUUGCUCGCCACUGCACUGGUUCGGUGCCCGGCUGGCCGCGUCUGAGACGACGACGGCACGGAUGGGGGGUGUCUGGUGUCUCGCGGCCACACGCAGGGAAUGGGUCGAUGCUUCUACUUGCAGGUUCCCAUAACCCCAUUUCCGCGAAGUGAUCCCUUUCGAAAAGAAUCAGCAGCGGCAGCACAGAUGGCCCUUGGAGUAGUACUCGUUAUCUCUGCGUUUCUCUCUCGUCAAGUCGUCAGUAAAGCUUGUGCAGUUACUUCCUAACUCCACUGCGAUUUGUUGGCCCUUCAGCAGAUAGUACUGGGUUUAGCCAUAGGCCAUAGGCGAUAGCCUGCCCUCGAUCUCGAUGUACCUUCAGAGACGUGGCUUCACUAAUGAGCGAGCCACUUCAGUAUUCUGACGUAGCAUGAGCUCUGAACUCUUCUUGUGAAUUGUUAGUGGCUUAGUGCAGGAGCAGGUAUGCAUCCAUCGCCAGAUAUAUUUUUAGCAGGUACUCCAAUACACACUACUAGCCUGCAGAGGUAGCACUGCUCCAAUCCAAGUCAACGGCUCGCGUUUGUCGCUGUCGUUGCCGAGUAAUUGCACCCACUACGUACUUAUCUAACCUUGACGUGUUGUCGCUCAGUACCAAAAUAAAAAUAAAAAUAAAAAAACGAGCUGUCACUAGCCAGCACUGCUUCUAGCUCAAGCCACUGAACUGCUUCUAGCUCAAGCCAUUGAACCUUCCUUCCUCCUUGCAGGCGGCUUUGUCUUUUCUUCCCCCUCCCCCGGUGAUUUUCAUACCGUGACAAUGACACGUAAGCCUCUGCGACUGACAAGAUAUCCACAGUUCACGACAUGCCAAACAAAAGAGUUGUGACGGGGCAGUUAACCGGCUGUACCAACAACGGCGAGAAACACAGCCGUGGAAGACCGAUUCGGCUGCAGGUAAGCGGUCGCCGUCCAGCAUCAAGAAGUCAAGCGCGCGCGGCGCGAUGCGCUGGCCGUUGCGAUCCACGGAGGCGCCUGUCCUGCUCGCCGGUGGGCUCGCUCGUGACUCGCCUCGCGGUCCUCGUCGCGACAAGCGGCUCCGGCUGCCGGAAUCGACAUGCACCUUUGUUCAGGCGGGCUUGUUGCCUGGGGACCAACCUCAACGGCUACAAUUCAGAACCAACCGGCCCGACGCCUCCGUUUCCUCCCUCGGGUGUCGCUCGGCGGUCGGCGCGGCCUCCGGCGCCGCGAGGACCCAAGCCCCAAGGUCGUCGCGGCGCUAGUCUCCGGAGUCCGGACAGUUCCCGGCGAGCGGCCGGCGUGGGUUUGCACGCUGCAGUCUUUGUUUCGGGCGAGCAGCGGCCCGGACGCGAAUUCUGGACUGGUUCGUACGCAUUCAGGUUUCACGUGGCUGACUUGCUGGUGGAGCCUAGUACCACCGCGGCUGCGGUUAAAGACGCUGCGCGUUGAAACUCUGGGCGCCGGCGAUUGGCGCCAUCGCCAGCGUACGUGGCCGCUGCCCGACAAGGAGCUACGCGCCAGCGUGGAGCUGAGGACUGCACUGUUCCGUGGAAAGAGAUCCAGAAGCGUGGGCUCCGUCGCGGCGUCCCAGCCCCGGACCCCGGUUAUUGAACCGAUCUUUGACAAAAGAGAGGUGACGCUGCAACGAGCAACGAAACUUCACCCGUUUCUCUUCAGCAAACUGCUUAUUUUCUUCCCCUUUUCGGUCCCAAGAAAAGGAAGAAAAGUCUGUUACUGGGGUUCCUCCAACUACUGCUGCCACCAAACAACUCCGACCCUUUCUCGUCGUGAUCCUCUCUCUUCACACUGUAAGCUCUCCACCCGCCCCUGUUCCUCUUCUCCACCAUGUUCUUCCUUUCAAAAAAAAAAAACUGUUCUUCAGUUGUUCGUCGGUGAUGUAAGUGUCUGACGGCUCCGAUGGUUCUGUGCAGGUUCUGAUUUUUUUUUGUCAGGGUCGUCGCGUGCAGGGCUAUGCUAUCUGAUCAUCAUCUGAAGUGACCUCCGGGCACGCCGCCGCCGAUGGGUGCGUCGAGUUCUUUCGUGCUCGCCGUGUUGACCCUCCACUCUGCUUCUGCGAUGGCCGGCUGCUCCGCCGUGGAUCUGCCGGCGGCGCAGCCUAGCCACCGGAGGUGGCUCCAGGACACCAAUCUCGCUGCGCGUUCGGAGGCAACUAUUCCUGUGCCAAUUGUUGCUCGCGUCCCUUCUGAGGGAAGCGGCUCGUUUCCGGCAUCGAGUAGUCGACGCGGGGGGCAUCACCCGAAACCGAAAGAGGUAGCGCGGCCGGCUGCUACUGGGGGUUCUCCGCAUCGCCCGUCCCCGUCCAAGUCCCAUUAUUUGUUGACAUCCAUGAGGUGGCUGUACCUGAUUGUUCUUCCGGCGGCUGGCCUGCUGUUGCUCGCUGGAAUAGCUUGCUGGCUCUUGGCGUGCCGCAAGAGUGCGGUUGCGACUAUAGGCCCUUGGAAAACGGGACUCAGUGGCCAGCUACAGAAGGCAUUCGUCACAGGUACUACUUUAUUUGCUGCAAGUUCAUACAUGUUCUCAAAAAUAUUUUACAUCUAUGUACUUCUUGCAAAAAAAUGGAAAAGAAUAAAGUUCUCGAUUGCUCUGUUGAUUCUGUGGUCUUUCCAUUAUGCAGUUAGAAUGCUCACCUGACACUUCGCUGUUUGUUUUAAUUCUUGAAACGCACUUUACCUUUUAAAUUGCACUUGAGCUGCUGCGUAUUGAUGUAGCAGCUAACUCUGCUGAUCUGAAUGUGCUUCAGGAGUACCAAAACUGCAGAGGUCAGAGCUGGAAAGAGCCUGUGAGGACUUCAGCAACAUUAUAGCAAGUUAUCCACACUACACUGUCUACAAGGGAACACUGUCAUCUGGUGUUGAGAUUGCUGUGGUAUCCACUAUGAUUACAUCAAGCAAGGAGUGGUCAGAGCAUUCAGAGAGCUGUUUCAGGAAAAAGGUUAUCGGCGUUUUGGCCCAUUAGAUGAACAUCUCACCCCAGUUUGUAUAUUGCGUAUUAGCAUGGAAAUUUUACAUUUCUUUCAUGAAUAAGCAGAUAGACACACUGUCGCGAAUGAACCAUAAAAACUUCAUCAACCUGCUUGGCUUUUGUGAGGAGGAGGAACCUUUCACCAGGAUGAUGGUGCUUGAAUAUGCACCGAAUGGGACACUUUAUGAGAGUCUUCACGGUAUAUUAAAAAAUUAUCUUGCUAAUUCAUCUAUUGAGCAGGGUAGUUUUCUAAAUAUUGUUCACGAUUAAUUAACAAAUUUGGAAACUGUUUUUGCAGCUGAGGACUUUGAGCACAUCGGUUGGCGAGGUAGGAUGCGGAUCAUCAUGGGACUAGCAUACUGCAUCCAACACAUGCAUGAGCUUAAUCCUCCAGUGGCGCACCCUGACCUGCAGUCCAGUUCCAUACUGCUCUCUGAAGAUGGUGCUGCAAAGGUACACACUUCUAUAUAUGCAUCCAGCAUCGUCAACUGCUACGCGUGCUCUCUCUGAAACUGUUUUUGCAGCUGACGAUUUUGAGUACUCCUACGGGCUAGUCUUAUCCCAUUUGACAUUUUUAGUCCCGCAUUUUACCAAAUUGAUCCGACAUCCCAUAUUGAAUCACCAUGCUGUUUAGCAUCCGAGUCAAGUAACUAUCAAUCUGAUCCAAUCCGAGUGCUUUCUGCAGAUCGUUGACAUGAGCGUUUGGCAUGAAGUGAUUUCCAAAGGGAAAACGCCGACAAAUGGAGAGCUUGACCCGCACCAUGAACAAGUGUCUGCUGCACUAGCAGGGAAUGUAUAUAGCUUUGGUGUUCUACUUCUUGAAAUCAUCUCGGGGAAGCUUCCUGACCCUGCACACGAGCGAUCCCUCGUCAUCUUGGUAAUGAUAUCAACGAUGGAUCAUCUAACUGAAAAAAGUUCAUCUUGAAAAAAAUCAAAUGAUUUUAUUUUUCUUCUUUCUAGGCUCUGGAGUGCAUUAACAACGGUGACCGGAGUCUAGUCUCUCUGCUUGAUCCUACACUGAAUGAUCAUAAGGAAGAUGAGCUAGCAGUCAUCGGCAAGGUGAUCCAUGCCUGCAUCCAGAGCGAUCCGAGAAACAGGCCGAGCAUGAGGGAGAUCACUGCGAGGCUGAGGGAAGCCAUAGGCAUCUCGCCGGUCGCUGCGACGCCGAGGCUGUCUCCGCUCUGGUGGGCAGAGCUGGAGGUCCUCUCAGCCGCCGAAGCAGGCUAAUAAUUGGCAAGAGCUCAGAAGGGACGAUGGCCAUCGUCUCAUCAGAUGUGCUCUGAAGAAAACCACUCUGCAGGCUCACGCUGUGCAUACUUCUAUGCUAUGCAACGUUUGUGCAUGCAUCCAGCAACUUCAACUGAUGCGCAUGUCUCCUGCUGUAAAUGUAAAACUGUAGGAACAGUAAUCCUCGUGGAUGCUUGGUAGCAUGUAGUAGUACCUUUCCCUGCAUCAUCAUGUGUCUGAACUCUGAAGGCGCCAUCGGGCAUUACAUCAGCAAAACGGUGCUAGCAAUAGCAUAGCCGUAGCUAGUGGUUUGGCAGCACACACUAUACCGUAGCAAAGUCAGAGCAGCACACUCAGCGUAUCCUCUAGGUACAUGUAUUUGUCCCUGGCCAGGCAGGCCAUGACCAUUAGACCAAACAAAGCUUCUAAAGGCCACGCCGCCCGCCAUGGCCGGCAGCCCGGCAUAUAAAAGCUCCACAAUUGAUACCUGACCUUGGGGGCGCUUGCAGACGACACUAUCCACGUUGUUUCUCUGCCCAGCUAUUAUAAUGCAAGAUCAGGGCGCCGAGAACACUCUCCUGCUUCCAGCGAAGCUCAGUGAACAGUGCACGCAUGACUGCCGUCCCUUGCAAAACAUCUGCAGCCAGCCAGAUGGAUUGGAAUCCAACCCAAAACUUUUCGCAUCGAAUGGCCCAAACUUCUACGCGCCAGCCGCUUCUGCCGUGGUGAACUGGUGAUCGUCUACAGACCAGCUAGCCCGUCAGCUCGCGUCACGAAGGUGAUGCUUUCAGGGAAGUGAACAUUUCUUCCGUCCUUACUGAUGUCCUCUCGAGAAAAAACAACUGCCGACUGGUCAGCUGAGGCCGCGUUUCUCCGGCGACGGCAAGUAAGCGAGCGUGGGCGGCCGUGAACGGGGACUCACCUUAUCUGAGAAGAAGGCGGCGACCGGUGACAAAAUGUGCCUGGAUCGAGUAGGCUGUAAGCAAGCAUCUACCAUCUUCUUCCAUGACGAAAUUCAACUUGAUCAGUUUCUAGUGCUCCGUUCAUUGGGCGGACGGCACCAUCCAAGCCGUGCCGGUGCCCAUAGACCCACUGGCACGUCGGGCCACAUGUCACCCGAGCCACCCGCUCCGCCCGCCCGGCGUGACGGCGUCGCCGUCCAGAACCAGGCGGCCAGUGGCCUAGUGCUCUGCGCACACAUGGGCUCCUGCAUGCGCGCCACCUUUCGCCACCUCAUACGCCCGGCCGGCGCGCGCCCGCAGCCGUCCGUUCGCCUCCGCUCCACGGCUCCGAUGGCGCGGCCGCCCCUUUAUAAAUCCCACCGCCACGCGUGGCCGUUGCUCGUUGACACCUUCCAUACCAUUGAUUAGGCCUCUCCCGCCUCGCCGCGCCGCGCCGCCCGCCUCUGUUCUGCCGCCUGCGCCCGCUCCCCGCUCACGUGCCCGUUCGGGAGAUGGAGCUGGAGGCGGCGACCCGGCGCUUCCACCUCUGGUUCCGCGGGCUGCGCUCGCUGCGCCGCGACCUGAGCUCGGCCCGCUGGUCCGACGAUCCGGCCCAGCUCGAGGCGCUGGUGGGCCGCUUCGUGGUCCACCUGGAGUCCUACUGCGCCGCGCGCGCUGAGCUGGACCCGGUGUGGACGCUGUCGGCGCCGUGGGCCAGCCCCGCGGAGCGCGGCGCCGCGUACUGGCUCGCCGGGUGGCGCCCCACCACGCUGGUCCACCUGCUCCACACAGAGUCCGGCCGCCGGUUCGAGGCGCAGCUGCCGGACCUCCUCCUGGGCGUGCGGUCGGGGAACCUGGGCGACCUCAGCCCGGAGCAGCUGGCGCAGGUCGACGAGCUGCAGCGGCGCACGGUGGCCGAGGAGGACGCGCUGUCGCGGGAGAUGGCGGAGGUGCAGGAGGGCCACGGCGUGGUGGCGCCCGGGGACGGGGGCGGCGAGCUGGAGCUGGACGUGCGCGGACUGGUGCGCCGGGUCAGGGCGGUGCUGGACAGGGCGGACGCGCUGCGGCUGCGCACCAUGAAGCGCGCGGUGGAGAUCCUGCAGCCGGCGCAGGCGGCCGAGCUGCUCGUCGCCGCCGCCGACAUGGAGAUCGGCUUCCGGGAGUUCGGGCUCAAGUACGGACCGGGCCGCGACCGAUGACCCCGGUUUUUCCUUUGGAAUUUCUCCCUGCAGUCCUGCGCACUUGCUUGCUUGAUCCGGGCGGCGUAGGCGUCGUAAGUCGUAACCCAGUUUUUUAUCCAUCCCCCAUUUGUUUGUGUGGUGGCUGUUUUGACUGGACCUUCUUACCGAGUGCCUACUGGGCCGUGGGCUAUAGCAGGGCAUGCAGAGAAAAUAAUAAAAUGCACGAGAUUGCCUGAGAUGUUUUUAACGAGAAGUUGGCCUGUUCUUGGUGUGUUAUUCAGAGGCCCUUCUUGCUGCUGUUUUCUGGCGUGCAAUGUUGGAAGGCUUCAUGGUUGAUGCUCGCUUGUAACUUGUGUGAACGGGUGCCGUGGCUCGCAGCGCAUUCAUUUACCUGCUUGGUGUCGAGGAAACACUUUAUUACUGAACCUACCAAAUUUUCUUUCACUGCGACGCUUUCAACUGACGCGCUUCAAAGGUAACCGCAAUACGAACCGCGGUGAAACAUUUGCACAUUUAUUCCGGUGUACCCUUUCCAUCCACGAGACGAGAUGGACCAAGCGCGAGCAGGACGGACGGGGAAGAGGCCGGCGCCAAGGCCGCCUCGCACGGCUCGUGCCAUUUAUCGCACGAGCAGCGGGAGAUUUCGCGAGCCGUGCUCCACUGAUGCCCAAUUUAAGGCGUGCAUGUUCUUAUAUUUGGGCGGGCCAGCCAGCCAACCGGACUCCGGCGGCCGCGCACGAUAAAACAGCCUCGCGCCGCAUGCUGGCAACGUUGCCGUUUCCCAAGCUUGGGGGUAGGGGCAGCCAAGAACCCAACCAAUUUCUGCUCCUCCGCUCCGCCUGCCACCCACGGCCACGAACAGCAACCGCAGCUUGCCAGCAGAACGCAACGCCCCGGCCCUCCCCUCCCCUCCCGUCGCGCCCCCCAAAAUCUAGCCAGCCACGGCCCCCCGUCUUCCUCUCUGCCAAGAAAGGCUCCACGUUGACAUCGAGGGCGGCGUAGUGCGUACGAGCGCGCGCGUACCAGCCAUGCGCCCGUGAUGGCCCGGCCGCUCCAGAAGAUCGGCCUCGAAAGGUUCUCGUUCAGGCGGCGGAGGUCGGUGUCGUCGUCGUCGUCGCCGUCGUCGCCGCUGUCGCUGGCCUCGGACGGGACGGACGGCAGCACCAUGGAGACGGCGGCGCCUUCCACCAGGCGGAUUCUGUCGAGGAGCUGCGGGUCCAAGGGAAGCCGGCUCUCGGUGGACCUUCCGCCGCCGCUGGCCGGCGGCCCGUCGGAUAAGGGGGCGGCCGGGAGCUCGUCGUCGCAAGCGGUGCCGCCCAGGCCGGCCCGGCAUGAGGGCCCGCCCUCAGGUGACCAUCUUUCUUGGACCGACGACAUCGAACGCCCGUUAUGCUGUUGCGAAUUGCAAUCUUAUUGGAGAAGCACGAUUUGCUUUGGUGAGUUGCAGAUGCGGAGAUGGUGAAGGAGAAGUUCUCCAAGCUGCUGCUCGGAGAGGACAUGUCCGGCACCGGCAAGGGGGUGUCCUCUGCUCUUGCCCUGUCCAACGCCAUCACUAAUCUUGCGGGUAAUCCAUUUUCUCUUUCAGGGAUCCAUCCUUUCCCCCCUAUUCUUUCCUUCUGCAAUUCCACUAUCUGGGCAGCCUUCGAUUUCUAAUGGAAUCCCUGAUUAACUAGGCGUUCUUUCUCUUGAUGACAUCUUUUCAGCUUCUGUGUUUGGUGAGCAGCGCCGUCUGCAGCCGAUGGCCGCCGACCAGAAAGCGCGGUGGCAGAAGGAGAUCGACUGGCUUUUGUCGGUCGCCGAUCACAUUGUCGAAUUUGUUCCUUCGCAGCAGAUGUCCGACAACGGGACCUGCAUGGAGGUAAGAAAUCCCGCAUUUUCAGCGCUUCUCGUCGUACUAUUCAGCUUCACCGUCCCAAUUCAAUUAUCCAGUGGUACAUACCACUCAACGGCCUUGAAUUGACCCGUCUUCCUGUCAAACAGAUAAUGGUAACCCAGCAGCGUCAAGAUCUACAAAUGAACAUCCCUGCAUUGCGCAAGCUCGAUGGAAUGCUCCUUGUAAGCAUGGGCCUGCUCAUCCUGAUCUUCUACUGAACCAAUUCACAGAGAUAUCUGAGGUGCUAACUUUUGGUAUUGCAUAUUUCUGUCGUGCGACAGGAAUAUCUUGAUAGUUUCAAAGACAGACAGGAGUUCUGGUAUGUGUCGAAAGAUGCAGACGAAUCGGAGAAGGGCAACAUGCCGAGGCAGGAUGACAAAUGGUGGCUCCCAACUGUUAGGGUCCCUCCUAAUGGUCUGUCAGAUGCAUACAGGAAAUGGCUUCAACACCAGAAGGAUCUCGUUGCACAAGUGCUGAAGGCAGCAAUGGCCAUCAAUGCUAAUAUUCUUAUGGAAAUGGAGGUCCCAGAAUCAUACAUGGAGUCCCUACCAAAGGUGAUCUGUAAGACCAGACUGCUAACGCCUUUCUGUAUUCUUUUUACAGCAAUUCUAACAAUAUAACUCUACCACCUUUUGUUGUUUUGUCUGCUAGAAUGGGAAGUCCACCCUUGGAGAGUCAAUGUACAAACUUAUAACUGAUGAUUAUUUUGACCCGGAAGAACUUCUAAGUUCUGUAGACCUGUCUGAUGAACACAACAUUGUUGAUCUAAAGAAUCGAGUCGAAGCCUCAGUAGUCAUCUGGCAGAAGAAAAUGACCAAUAAGGACAGCAAAUUAUCGUGGGGACAUGGGGUUAGUCACGAGAAGAGGGGAAUGUUUGAAGGCAGGGCAGAGAACGUUCUUCUCCUGAUCAAGCACAGAUAUCCUGGCAUUGCUCAAUCAACUCUGGACAUAAGCAAAAUCCAAUGCAACAGGGUACAGAAAGCAUUCACAAUUCCCAUAGCCUUUUACAGAUACACUACAGUGUUUUGUUUACUCACAUAUAUUGCACAUCUCCCCUCUUAUCUUUUUUUUCAGGAUGUUGGCCUUGCCAUUUUGGAGAGCUACUCCAGGACUCUUGAGAGCUUAGCUUUCACAGUUAUGUCUCGAAUCGAAGAUGUCCUCAACGUUGACUUGGCCACUCAAGAUCCCAAGAACGUGGAUUCAAUGAGAAUACCCAGUUUAACUUCAGACGACACGGAUAAGGUUGUCUCAGAUGCUAAGGCCGAGGUAGAGAAGUCGAGGAGAAUGGAACCAGUUACAGCAACGAUGUACGACUUUGUGGGCUCAUGGGACCAUGUCAAGGAGAGCGCUAAUGGUCCGAAGCUGUCCAAGAUCUCAUCAAUUGCAACCAAGAGGUUUUCUUACCUUGAUAAUUUGGGUGGAACAAGAAGCCCAAUAGCUAGACACUAGCUGCUAUAGGGGUGAGGAUAGAUGGAUCAUGCUGCCAGGAAACCUUUGGAAGAAACUUUGUACAUAGCACAGAUGUCUCCAAUGCAUCAUGAUAUUCGGAAAUGGGGGUUCCCUUUGAGGUUCUGUAAACUAACUCGGAGGAAGUUUGGUGCAUGAAGCCAUGCCAAUGUGAAUUCUUGGCAUAUUUACAUGAAAUAAUCAGAAGAUCAUAACUCAUGAACUGACCAUCAACAGUAGGCCUGUGGGAUUUGUACUUGUACGGUUUCAAAAGAAAAGGAGGGGAAAAGAUUGUAUUGCCCUAGUAGCGCCUUGUUCAAUAGAAUUCUUUUUUGGACAUGGAAAAGGGGCAAACCCCUUAUGACUUCCAUUAUUACAAAUCACUGUGCUUCGAACAUCUCUGAGAAGAUGACAGGGGAUGGAUACUAUUUUAGUCAUCAGCACCAGCAGUCCAGCAUCUAGCCAGACAUACUACUUUACAAAAUCCCAGCGAACCCUUGCCAAACGAUAAUGGAACGAACGACUAAAGACGAAAUUACCAAGCACAAACAUGAAACAUCUCAUAGUUCAUACUAGUCAUCGCAUCAUCAUCACCAAAACCAAGCACUUACUUUCUUAUUCACUUACUUCUCAUCUUCAUUUCAACCUACGCUUAAGCUACCCUUGCUCAAAAUGUUCUUCUUGAGCAGUUGAACAAAAAGUUGCAUGGACGACCAAUAGAUUGAGCUUUCAGAGCUAAAAGAUUUACCAGUGAAUUAACUCUCUCUUUUUUUAUGUCGUGACCUAAGAAAUUAUCUCCAUUUUCAAUCAAACAGGACACUCUUGAGGAAACAUUUUUCAGAUCAUCCAGGCAUCCAGAUUAUCUCCCACCUUGUUUUUCCUCGAGGGCUAGUAACUCCCCAUAUUUUUCUUCUAUAUAAAACGAAAAAUACAGCCCCAACCUUUUCCAAACACCUCAGGAAUCCUCCACUGAAGGUAAUAACACCUGAGGUAUUUUUGACAAUUUGUAUUUAGGACAGGCAGAAAUACAGGCCACAUACAGCGAUAGAGACAGGAUAAAUCCAGGGAACGAGCAAAAACUGGACGCCACCCUAAAGAAUUCUGAAGAUAAACAUUUUAUAUAACAUAGGCAUCUCGUAUACGCUCGGGGAAGAUGCUACUAGUGAACUUUCAGUCUUUCAGACUUCAAAAUCCAAGUCAUAAGAUGACCGAAGGAUAUCUUCAGUACAUAUAUCUUCUGGAACAAUAUCCUGCAGCUAUCAUUAUAUGUGAUAAGUAACCACAAAGGCCACACAAGUAUAUGUGACAUCAAGGCUGGGUUUCAUGGUUACAAUCCAUGGACAGAUAAACAAACAUACAUAUACAUACGCCAAAUUCAUAAUUCCUAUCUCCUAUCACUUAAAGAAUUCGAACAUACAUCUAAUCUGGCGUUCCUUCUCAUCUGAACUUGAAAUGAUCUGGUUUUCUAUUGCAAGCAUGAAGCCUCUGUCAACUGAGAGCAUCUGUGUCAUGGGUACUGUGUUUCGCAAAGAAAGAAAAAACGGCAGAUUGUCUGAUGUUCCUAGUUGGAACGGCAAACCCAGGGAGGUACGUCACGGCGUGAGGUGCCUUUGUUACGUCAGAGGAGCCUGGUCCGCCAAAGAGUUCUUCAUGUAGCAGAACAAAUAAAUAAUCAGCAACAAAUGACAAAGAGCUUAAAAUGCUCUUGACGUCGAUCAGCUGUUGCUUUCCUUGUCUAAGAUUCUAGACGUCAGACUGUGUUACACAAGUUGCUGUCUUGCUGACCAACUCUACCUGCAGAAGCAGAAACAUACAAAUGGGACCUAGCUCCAGGAAGGAAAGAGAGCAAAGACAAAUCACCACGGAGACAUCCAAUUCGACUGGCAGAAUGCAAACUAUGGCCAAACCAAACUUCUCUCCCUUUCGAAUGGGAACUAGGCAGGUUGCAAAUGUUUUCAGCCCCAGAGUGACCACCCAGCGCAGCCACCUCAUCGUCCCCAAAUAAACAUAUGCACAGAUAUAUCAACAUCAGAAAGAUGUCCGAUCAAAUCAGCAGUCUGCGAAUUUCAAGCACAGGCACAUCAGGAUGAACAAAACAAUCUUGCCAGAAACACAGCCCGCAACAGGACGAUCAAAACACAGGCCCUGUAAUGUGCCAACGCCCUUUCAUUUCACUGCUCCUGCGGACGAUUAGAGUGUCUACAAAGGAGGAUCUUGGAGUUCAAACAGAGUACAGGCUCACCCACAUAUCCAGAGAACAUUCUGGCAAUAUAAUCCCCAGAUACGACAAAAGGCUACUCUUCGCCUACAGAUUACUUCUAACAACAGCUCACAUUUGAUGCACACUAGGCUACGCGAACUAUUAAAUUAUCCUGCAUACUAGUGAUUUAUUAGUGCAGUUGUCUUGCCAAUGCACUGCGCCGUGAUAAAACGCCAUUGGCAUCCCUCAAACUCCUUGCCCUUCUGUACUCAAUUUCUGCAUCUGAGCACGAAUGGCCAGGAGGAGAUUUCUUCCUUACUUCUAUGGGUUUUAGCAAUAUUUCAUCCGUUGCCUUUCUGAAAGGAUGGCUAUCUUUUGCAAUGCCCUCGUCCUCGGACUGAUGGCCACCUUUUGUUCCUGCAAUGUGAGGAUAGAAACAUAAUAAGCAUUUGAGGAAAUAGAAACACAACAUUGGCAAGGGAUUACAGAUUUGUUCAUAUUAAAAUCUGGGUGUAGCUGAUAAAAGAUGCAGAGUUCAGCUUAUAGAAACUAGUGUUUCAACUUUCAAGCCAUCAGAUAAUUAUUUGGCAUAGUAGCAAGAAAAAUCUAAAGUUGAUUCUGCUAUGCCCAGAUACAACUGAAUGAUUGAGACAAAAGGUAAGGAUACCUUUGAAUGCGUCCAAGUGCAGCACUUUAUUUGGAGAAUCAAUGGAAAGCUGGUUUGUUGAUUUCUUCGGACUUGUGCCAUCUUUCACAUAGACAAAUGAUUUAUCCACCUUCUGAGCCCCAUUAGGCAGAUCAUUAAAUGCGCACAUCUCAGUAGCAGGAGCAAUGUUUCCGAAUGGUGAUAUGCUGAAUGACUCGUCAAGUGCAUCUGGUAUCUCCACAUAAGACUGAGUUUGGACGAUUUCAUCCGCACUAAACCCAAACGAGGCUCUGUAAGCUUCGAUUUCAUCAGCAUCUUGCUUCUCCCUGGAGACACUAACUCUCCCGCCGUUAUGUGGAAAUGUCUGCUGAGCCUGGUCCAGAUAGAAUUGAGCAGAUGCUGCUGGCCGAAAGAAGUUGCUAUCUAACAUGUAAUUUCUUGGGGUAGAUGAAUCCAGCCCAAAAAUAUUGGCUGGUGAGGUCCUGGCAUAUGGUGUGUCACAGGCAGAUCUAGAUGUCUUCCACUGUGCAGUGGCUUCUUGCUCAGGAAUGGGUGAAGCCCUGAAAUAUGGUGUGUCGCAGGCUGACCUAGAGAUCUUCCAAUGGGCAGUCGGAACCUCUUGCUCAGGUAUAGGUGAGGAGAGACCAGUCCUCGGAGUUGCUGAAGCAGGUGAUAUGAGGCUGCUACAAGGGCUUUCAGGGUAAAGCGGGUAAGAUGCCUGGAGUCCUGAACCACCAGAAUAGGUUGUUGAUAAGAAAGGCAUGUUAUGCUCCUUGCUGGCAGUUUUGAUGUCCAUGGAAGAAGAAAGAAAUCGAGCAUAUGGAACAUCUGGAGACGAGGGAGUAGUUGCAUGAGCUAGUUCAGGUGGUGGGGUCAGUGGUGCUGUGGAUGGCUCAGUUGUGUAAGUUGAUAAGACAGGUGGAGAGACAAGUUGAGGUUCAUUAGCAUAUGGCCCAAUAGCAAACAUGUUAGAUGUUGGACCACCAGGCGAGUUUGCAGAUACUGAGAGAAAGCAAUUUGGUGACUGAGCAGUCGAAGGAAGUGUGGAGUUUGAGAAGGAUGCUGGUGAUGAUGGAGGAGCCAGAAGAGAUAAAUUCAGAGGCACAUUUUGGUUCGAAUUGGCACCAGAUUGGACACCAUUCCCACGAGCAGUUGAUCCAUUCCCAUCAGAACCAGGAACUAUUCUUUUCCCGCCCUUCUGCAAUCCAAAACACGAUAGGCCCGAAAAGCAGCCAGCCCAUCUGCUCCGCUGUUAAUAGAGAAGCACAUAUUAGUCCAACCACAUAACAUAGCUGUUUCUAGAAAUAGAAACAAAAUGUAUGGCUAGUAGCUCAACAAUGAAAUUUCAAAGCAUUAGUGACCUCUGCUCUUUACAUACAAAAAGAACCAUUUUAGCUACAAUUAAAACACUGAGGUGGGCUGGGGGGUAUUAAACCCCACUUGAAUAAAAGUGAGAACCAGGGUUCCAAACCCAGUUCGCUAGCUCUUUCCCACAGAGACUAGCCAGCUGCACUAAGGCAGAUUCUCUUUUAACUGUAAUUAUCGAAAAGGGAAUUAUAUAACAAUAAGGAAGCAUAAAAGGCAGUGCUACAAUAGAGCAUAAGAAAUGUUAGUCUUUCACAAAAUUCUGAAGGUCUUCAUGUGGAAAGAGAUUUUAUCCUACAACAGGAUUAUCUCACGUGUAAAAGCUAUCUUGCUUCUGACUUCAACUGUAAACAAUGUGUGUAACAGUGUAGGUAGCCAGGGUUCCUAAAAUCAACAAUUCUGUAGUACAUAGAUUCUCUGGGAAUACUAUUGCAAGAGCAAGACAGUAUUCCGGGACUGAAGAAAAAAAGUAAAGUGCCGUAUGCGUGCAAUUCAACAUCAGCAGCAAAAACAAAAGUACAUUGAGCAAAAUAUUCAAUAGAAGCAAGCAAGCAUGUAGUACUGAAGCCUGAUUAUUGGUGCUAAAGAUGCCCCACUUUCAAGCUCUAACCAACUGCUGGUCAGUACAAUUCGUACUAAGUAGGCAAAGGCUGUGUCAAUCUAGGUCGUCAAGGCCUACUAGAAAUUCCAGUCCUCAUCCACAUAUCUAAAGCAUGCGAGGCAAAAGCUGCGGCUAAAGCACGAGCCCGAUUUCAUGCGCCCAUGGAACAAGAAGUCGAGUGGUGUAUGUACCCUGUCCUGCUGCAGUAGUUGGGAGUGGAAUCUGGCGUCGGCCGAGCCUGCUGCCGUCGCGGCAGCACUGAUGGCAGCGGCACCAUUCGCCGCCCUGGUGCCACUGCUGCUCCCAACCGAAGACAUAUCUGACUGUACCCACCGUUGCUCAGGAUCACAUGCUCCUGAAAAGUAUCGCGAGAUUUCUCCGGAUCCCACCUGAGUUCAGGAGCGGACCCAGUAUAGGACUGUGUACACCGAUAAUUUUAGCGAAAAAUCGAAGUUAGUAAGUAAAAUGCAUGGUCAGAUCCGAAUGCAAAUAGCAUACAUUAGGGCUUUGGGUGCCCGAUUUCGCACGGCAGGAAGGGAAGGGAAGGGAAGGGAAGGGAAUGGGCGGGCGUACCUGUCGGAUGCUCGUCGCCGGCGAACCUCUCGACGAAGAACUGGCCAAGGGCGGCGCCCCUCGCCCUGUCGUCGCCGCUAGGAAAAGAAGGCCGAGAGAGAGAGAGAGAGAGAGAGAGAGAGAGAGAGAGGGGAGGGGGGGGGGGGGGGGGGGGGGUGGGGGUGGGAAGGAGUGGAGAGGCGAAAGAGAGACGGAAAGUGAAACCCGUCCCCGCUGAUGCAGUGAUGCGGCGGCCACCGCGGCCCGUGUGUGCAGUAGUAGGCUAGCAAGGUGGUGAGUUUUCUUCAACUUGGGUUGAGCCAAAGGAGAACAGGUCGGCACAUGACAGCCUGAGAUUUUUUUCAUCGGGUCAUAGGCUCAUAGCUGAAUUCUAGAUCACGGGAGCUAGUUUAUAUAAACUUCCUCGUAUGCCUCCAUUACAGGUGCGUAACAAAAUAAGGUGUAUAAUACGUGUAAUUGUAUUAGCGAGUAAAUUGUAAUUUUUUAUAGUUCUCAGUAUACUGUAUACAUCUGUAUCAUUAAAAAAGCUCAUAUUAAAAGGAUCAAGAUGACUACUCUUAGAAAUCUCGUAGCUAAAUUCACCUAUUCGCUAACUACAGAGUGUAUCUAGAUAACACAUGAAGUUGUGCAAUUUAGUUCCACCCCCCAUACUAACAUGUCAAUUCUAAGAAUAUAAAUUGCGUAAAGUAAAACAAGAAUUAGAAGGUCAAUUUUUUUGGAGGUAUUAGAAAUUUGACACUCUCCAUCAGUCCUCGUUGGAGUACCCGCGCAAAAGGAUCAAGUGCUCUCUAAUAUAAAUCCGAUCUCCAUAUUCCGAGUAAGUGGAUUCAAAAAAUAUAUAGCACAAUCUUCAUGGAGCUUCUACAAAACUUCUCAUUGAAAGCUCCCUAGCGCUGUCUUCGCUCGACCAAACUCUAAUGCGUGGAUGAUAUUCACUUGUGCUACCGCGUGCACCAUUGCAAACCAAGAUUCACCUUCAUGAAGGAUUUUCUGCAUUAGCUUCUAGAUCUACUGUGCUUUUCAUUGAAAAUAUUCUUCAUUGCCACCACGAGGUAGAUCCAUCUCCUAUUAUUUACCGGGGCUAAAGUUUAGGUUACCAAGUGGUAUUUUUAAGUUCAAAAGGUUUAUUAAUAGAAUUGUUCGAUAAUGAGAUUUACGUAUCUAUGUAUGACAGGGGAACCUCAAGGACCGCAAGAUGCAUUGAAUGGUCAAAAAUGGAGAGAAGUGAUGCAAGAGGAAUAUGACGCACUUCUGCAUGGUUCCAUGGGGGCGGAAAUACACUCCUAGAACGUUAAGAGACAUCAUCACAUGAUGGUACAGAAGAGAGCUUAAUGGUCCUGACACCAAUCAACGAGGGGAACACACAUGAUGGAACGAGCAAAUCAUCGGACGAGGUAGGUCACACAGCAUCAAGUGUGACAACCUCAGCACUCGUCAUUGAAUCAACGUAUAAAUCAUGCGAAACAAGAGUGUACUAGCUCUUAUCUGCUCAGCGUGGUCCUCACAACUGCUUUGCAUAAAACUCUUCGUCUUUGUAGGUUUUUUUGUACGCUUUAUUUGCUUUGCGCUAUUAUCUGUCUCUAGUAGCCACUAAAAGAAAAAAAAAACUAUCUCGAGUAAAAGUGGCUACAAAAGCCCAGUAGAAUCAUUUUUUUUUGAAAAAGGCCCAGUAGAAUCCUCCUUUUGCGUUGGACUCGGGCCCCCCUUGAAGGCCCUUGUGUGACGCCUGGGCUCUCUGAUGAUGACCAAGAAACUAGAACGCCCACGGCUCACGAGUCAUGACAGCGCGCAUGCAAAAUCUUAAAUCCGAUCAUACUCGAUCGAUGUCCAUUGAUUGAGUAAACAUUGUUCUUGGAAUCACGGGGAUAGAAUACAAAACUGCUGAGAUUCCCAUGCGCUUAAUUAAAAGCAAAUUGACCUCGGAUUGGGCCUAAAAUUAAAGCAAGUACUGACACGAUCAUCGAUCGUCAUCAUCAUCGUUCCCGUGCAUGGAGCCAAAGGCACGUACGUUACGGAGUGGCGCGGUCAAAAAGGGCAGCGCGCGCCCUCGCCCUCUCCCUUCCUUUCGCGAGUGACGAUGCCCGGGUGCCCUCCACGUGACAGCUUUUGGUAGCAGCUAGCUAGCGCCUCCUUUGGUUUCUUCCCGCACCCAUCGAUCGACAGUGACGCAGCACUCGUUCGUAGCUCCCACCACCAGGCCACCAGCAGCGCUGCAGCAGCGAGGAUGGACGAAGACGAAGACCAAAGCAAGCUCUUGGGCGAACGGAACGCUCACGAUUGUUUCGGUAUUGUUCGGAUGGCCACUGCACAGGUAACAUCAGGGGAGAAAUCGAUCGAUUGGGCAUGCGUGUUCCAGCGAGAGAGGGAAUUGAAUUGAAAGGAUCGAUCGAUCGAGACAAAGCAGCGCCGCCGCCGCCGGAGACUACUUCCGGCCGGGCUGGGGAAUUCCAAGUGUCGCCGGAUCGUCGCUCUAAUGUAGUCGAGAACAAGUUUCCGAUGACACGUUUGAGUUGCAUCCAUGCAUGCGCGGCGGUGGAGGAACAGUACGUCCCACUAUCUUCUCCGCGAGAAAAACGUACUCUGCCUCGCCAGUAUUUGAAUCGAUCGAGCCGGCAUCGAGCAGCUAGGCAGCGGCGUCCCAGAGCAUGCAGGUAAGCACGCAACACACCGUUUAAAUUGUAUGCCAGAGUAUAGAUACAACAAUAUCAACAUCGAUAAACAGGCAGCCGCGAUCGAAUUUCAGCAGCACAACAGGCAGGGAGGAUCAUCCAUGGCGACCGGAGCUAGCGGUACGAGCAAGCAGCUAGUGGACAGAUGGAGAGGAGGCACAACUGACGGGCUUUAGAUCUUGCCGCGCGGGCCCGGCUGCGGCGGCUGCUGCGGCCCCUUCUUGAUCGGCAGCAGGUCCGGCGACGCCGACGCGCUGACGUAGGCCAGCAGCGAGCCGCCGCCCAGCAGCAGGAACUUGAGCAGCAGGCCCCUCUUG